UUUUUUCUUCUACCACAUCAGAUUGAAGAAUUGACUCUUGAAAUUCAGAUUUGGAUGACUCAGAUGUGGUCAACUCUAAGGAGGGAAAUUUUAACUCCUUAUCUUCAAGUGUAUCUAACUCCCCCUGAAGAUAAGGAGUGAUGAAAUAGGGCUUAUUUUCAACAAAUGUAACAUCUGCCGAGGCAUAGAGUUUUCUAGUAGGUGGAUGAUAACAUUUGUAACCCUUUUGAGUAGAUGAGUACCCCACGAAGACACACUUAAGAGCACGAGGAUCUAACUUCCCACGGUUAUGACUAUGGACAUGAACAAAGGAAGUACAUCCAAAAACUCGAGGAGUGAAAUUAAAGGAAGAUCGAAUAUCGGGGUAAAAUUUGGAUAGGUUCUCUAGUGGACUUUGAAACCCCAAGACCUUGGAAGGAAUUCUAUUUAUGACAUAAGCUGAUGUGAGUACAGCUUCUCCCCAAUAUGCUUUUGGCACACUUUGUUCAAACAGUAAGGCUCUAGUGCACUCAAGAAGAUGUCGGUUUUUCCGUUCUGCCACUCCAUUUUGUUGUGGAGUGGCAAUACAGGAUGAUUCAUGUAUGAUUCCUUCUUUUUGGAAAAACUGACUCAAAGUUUGAUUGAAAUAAUCACGAGCAUUAUCUGAACGAAAGUGUUUUAUCUUGGUGCCAAAUUGAUUUUGAAUCAUUGCAUGAAAAACAGGGAAAAUAUAACUCAAAUCAGACUUAUUUUUGAGUAAAUAGAUCCAAGAGACUCUUGUGCAGUCAUCGAUAAAUGUGACAAACCACUUAGACCUUGAGAUGUUUGGAAUAGUUGAUGGCCCCCAAAUAUCACUAUGGAUUAAAAAGAAAAGAGAAGACGAUCGUUUAUUACUGAUAGGAAAUGGGACAUGAGUGUGUUUAGCAUACUCGCAAAUAUCACAAUGAAAAGACUGAACAUCAAAUCCCUUGAACAAGGAAGGAAACAUUAUUUUUAAUGCAGAAAAAGACACAUGACCUAGACGUCUAUGAUGUAACCAGAUGACAUCUUUAUUGGAGGGUGAAGACAAUGUGGACAGGGCAGAUUUACUAAAUUCUGGUUGACUUGAUGUAUCCAAGUAAUAGAGUCCAUCAUGCUCCUUAGCUAGUCCAAUCCUCUUCCCCGAGCCCCGGUCCUGAAAGUCACAACAGGAUUCAUCAAAUAUAACAGAGCCAGCUAGAUCCUUGGCAAGUUUUUUUACAGAAACCAAAUUUGUAGAUAAUCGAGGAACAUGAAGAACAUUUUUAAGAAUCAAAUUUGGAGUAACUUGGACAUCUCCAAUACCUGCCACAGUGGUUGUAGUACCAUCUGCAACAACAAUCUUUCUAUUGCUAGGACAGGGAUUAUAGGUUUUGAAUUUAUUUGAAAUAUGAGUCAUAUGAUCCGUAGCACCAGAGUCAAGAAUCCAGACAUUCCUAAGCUCAUUGCCUAAAACACUAAAUGCAAAAGAGACUAGAGCCUUACCUGAAAGUGUCAAUGAACACAUACCCGGAUUCCUUGAUUGAGAAUUGUUAGUUGCUGGUUUGUCAACUGUCUCUAACAUACUUUUAAGCUUCUCAAUUUCCUCCAUACUAAACCCUCUAAUCACUUGAGUUGGAUCUUGAACCGACAUAUGAGCCUGCCUUUGCUGGCCACCUUUUUGUCCCCAUUCACGAGUGGGUAGUUCCCAUGUAGUUUCCAGCAUUGAUCUAUGGUGUGUCGUGGUUUCUUGCAGUAUGUGCACCACAACUCCUCGCGAUUCUUUGGCCCACUUGUUUGAUUGGUCUUGUCCGCAGCAACCUUGUUCAGUACCAACCGCUGAGAUUUGGAACUUAAAAGGGUUGAAUUUUCUAUUGAAGGUAGCUCUAACAUAAUACCCCUGCGACUUUCUUCUCCACGUACUUGGGAUAUUGCUUCUAUUAAAGAAGGAAACUCUGGCCUGCCCAGAAUUUGAAUUCGUACAAAAUCGAAUUUAGAAUUUAGGCCAGCCAAAAAAUCAUAAACUCGAUCCCUUUCUAUGAACUUCUUGAUAAACACUGCACAUUUGCUACAGUUCAAAUCAAGUGCCCUGUAAUAAUCCAGUUCCUGCCACUGGUUUUGCAGAAAAUUGGCAUACUCCGUCACUGUUUUUGUCCCUUGUUUUGCUCCAGUUGUCUUUGUCUUGAUGUCAUAGAUAAGAGCUGCAUCAUUAACCUUGGAAUAUGUCUGAUGAAGGGCAUCCCAAAUUGCCUUUGCUGUAGGAAGAAACAUACAUGUAUCGCUGAUUUCAGGAAUCAUGGAAUUCCAUAACCAAGACAUGAUCAUUGAAUCCUCUUGUUCCCAUGCUUCAAACCCCGCCGUUUCACUAACCGGUGCUAUUUCCAAUAGAUGACUCAACUUUCUUUUUCCUUUCAGGAAUGUUCGAACCAAUUGAGACCACUUCAAAUAAUUUUUUCCAUUUAGUCUAUAUGCUGCCUGGAUGUUUUGAAGCUCUGUUGUGUUCCGUAUACUUUGUUCUUCUUCCAUAGUUGAAGACAAUUGCCGCGUUGAGGAUGUAGCAUCCGCCAUGAUUGAAUAGAAGGGGGGAAAAAUGUAUAGUAACAGGAACAGCAAUGAAGGCUGGAGAGAAUAAGAAAGGAACCAGCAAUUAAGGUUGGAAUUGACAAGAAGCAAAGGUGGUAUUUUUCCCAGAACCCUAGACGGGCUCUGAUACCAUGUAAACUAAGAAAAAUGGAGAGAAAAAAUACUUUUCUUCUAUUUCACUUUGGACUACACAAUAUACAAAUAUAUAUAUACACAAGUGGAUACUAUAAUCAUAUGAUACUAUAAUCAUACUAUUACCUAAUUAAUAUAUGAUACUAUAAUCAUAUGAUACCUAAUUAAUAUAUGAUACUAUAAUCAGAUCUUUCCUAAUAUUUAUAUUAUCAAAUCUUUCCAUAAUAUCAGAUCACAUAUCUUCAACAUAAUCCUCUUUUCAAACUCAGGACCAUUCUUGGCCACAAACUGAGAUGUCUUGUCAACAAUGUUUCUGAUAUCUGGAGGAGGAUAAAUAAUACCAAUAGUUCUCGUAUGAGUCGCAACCGAAAUAGGAGCUGAGUUGGAGUUGUCAGCUUUGCUCAGAUCCUCUUGACUUCCAUUCUGUUUCUCGUCUUCUUCAGUUAUCUGAGCUAGUGGUACAGGCCCAAGAUUACCAUCAGAAGGGGGUGCAGGUAAAGGCAAUAUCGGCAAAUUGCCCAACAUUUCCAGAUGGUCUGCAAAAAGUUCACAAAAAAGUUAAAAACAAACCAACAAAAAACACAUGCAGCACACUAUUUUUACUUCCUAGCAUAUCAUGCUCUGAUAACUCAUGACUUCAUGAAGCUUUAUCACGAUGAAGACCUCAAAAAUGAGCACAACUACAAGAGACGGGUAUUACCCCCUUGAAGAUCAUAAACUAGGUAUGAGUUCAUGUCUACUUCAGACCAUCCACAAACUUUUCAAUUCACUCAAGACAAACAUUCACAAACAUAUUUCAUCACAUAUGUUCACAUACAUCAAGUGGAAUCACUACAUAAUCCCAAGUACAAGCAAAAUAAACUAACGAAUCAAACAUGUUAGAAAAGCACCUCUGCUUAAAAUGAAAAUAAAUAAAUUACAGUAACAGAACAACCAACUUCAGAAUAAACUGAUCACAAUGAAAUUCAUUAGAGCAUCAAGAUUCAGAUUUCAGCAAAAACAUCACCAACUAAAAUAAGCAAGGAGAACUCAUCACUGACCUAACAGAAAAUAUCCCCCAACCACCAAGGAAUAACAAGAAACUUUCUCAGCAUAAAGAAAGAGUAAAGAGGUCACUACAAGCUGCAGAUUCAAAAUUGUCGAUAGGGGAACUAGGGUUAGGGAUUUGGAAUUUCAUUUUUUUUUAAUUCUCGCUCUCUCAGACUUUCACUCUUGCUGACUCUACAUGAAUUGACAUAAAAACUCAACAAAACCCGAAGGAAAAAGAAAUGGGUGGGUUGGGGUACUCCAGGUUCUGUUACUACUUCCUAUACUUCCUUUUCAUGGUCCGCUACCCAGCCCUAAAACUUUUUCAGGAUGCAAUAUCCUUCAAGCGGUGUUCUUUUAAUAACUGUCCCAAAAAAUUCUUACUACUUAAUCAAGUUAGAGGAGGAGGUUCACAAGUUAAACCUUUUUUUAGUCAUUUUUUAGCGUUACUUUUUCCUUCACUAGAAAAGUUAAACAGUAGCAUUUGAAAAUAAGAAUUUGGGUUUGUUUGGAUAGGAAGUUAUUUGAAAUAUUUAUUUGAAAUAAUUACUGUAACACUUUUUGUAAUGUCAUGUACAUGAGAUAAAAAAAUGGUUAGAAAUUGUGUGUAUGAUAUAAGCAAAACAAAAUUUGAAAAUUUUAUUUGAAAAUCUUACAAUCCAAACAAACCCUAGCCCCACUUCAUAUUGAUUCAUCAAAAGCUUCCCUCUUCAAUUUAUUUCUUAUCUAUAUGUGCAUACACAACAAACACCACUAAUAUACAUCAUAAACGGUAUACAGAAAUAACAAUAAAAAGGGUAAUUACAACAUUCACUCCAAAACUAUUAUUAAUUUGUACUUUCUCACUUAUAAUAUCAAUUUAGCACUUUACCACUAACAAUUUGUGCAUUAAUGGCAAACAAGUGGGAUGGCCAGGGUUUAAAGAAUUCAAAGAUACAGAACUAGACACAAGAAAUCCAACGUUGGUCAAAGAACUAAUGAGUAAGACAAUACAAAGCCUAUUUUAGUACCGCCUCUUAUUUUACAAAUUCUACCCAUAUUAAUAUGCACCUACUUACAUUCUCUACCUCUCUUUCCUACCGUUCCAAACACCUUGAGGUACUUGAAUUUACAAGUUUUUAAAAUCAUUGAAGGUACUUGAAUGCAUGUUUUUAAACUCAAUUCUGAUAUUAAAACAAAUUAGUUUGGUGUCUGGUUAACUCAAACAAUCCAGUAGGUCUGGUUCAAAGACUAGGAAAUAAGUACAAGCUUUUCCAUCAUUUGUUCCAACACGAGUUAAGAUACAAUUGCACUUGGGCUUUCUAACGGUGUUUUUUUAUAAUAAAAUGAAGUAAAUCCAAGAUGGUUGUCUCUGAAGUCCUUUGUCCUAUCCCAAAUCCAAGUGGGUUGCCUCUCUACGAGAUUUUCUUUAACUAUUUUGUUUGCUGAAAUUAAAAGGGGGGAGGGAAUCCAUUUAACAAUGAAAAACUAGCGAGAAGGUGGAAUCUUUUCGGAAAUUGACAUUUUUUCCCCAAAACAUGAGCACGAUUACAAGAGAAGGAGUAUCACCCCCAAUGAAGAACACAAACUAGAGUACACUUUCCAACCCAUUUGAGACCAUCCACAAACUUUUCAAGUCCCUCAAGACAAACAUUCACACACAUUUCCACCCCAUAUGUCUACAUAUCAACUCGUAUCACUACAAAAUCCUAAUCAAAAGCAAAAUGAAUAAACGAAGUUUAACAUGUUAGAAAGCUGGCUAUGCUGAAAACGAGAACAAAUAUUAUUGUAACAGAGCAACCAACUUCAGAAAAGAAUAAUCACGAUGAAAUUCACCUGUCCAGACAAAGAACAAAGCCCAUUAAGAUUCAGACUUCAGAGAACAAAAAUCACCAAAUCAGCAAGCAAGAAUAACUUGUCGCUAACCAAACACAAAAAAUCCCAAACCCCAAAGAGUAACCUAAAAAAGAAGAUUUCAGCAUAAAAAUAGAGUAAAGAGGUAAUUAUAAAGUGAAAGCCUGCUACUUCUUAGUCAAAUUCACCAACUUUACCUGAAUUUUACAGAACCCCAACCAAAAGCGGAAACUUCUACAUUUAUAGGGUUUAUUCAUUACAGAACUUCAAAACGAAAAACAAAAAUAAAAGGAAACAAAUGGAAAUGAUUAAAGCGAAGAAGGACUGACCAGAGAGAUUUGAGCUCGCCAAAUGAAGACAGUAUAUUGAGAAAUUAGGAUUAGGGAUUCGGAAUUUCUUCUUUUUAUUCUCCCGCUCUUCGACUCCCACUCUCGCCGACUCUACGGUUCGUUUUGAGAUGGUAAAAUCUAAACAAAACCCGAAGGGAAAAUGGGUGGGGCGGGGUUUACCGUGUUCUGUAACUUCUGUCACUACUUCCUAAUUGCUUUUCUCUUUUUUUUUUAUUCUUUUUUUCUCUUUUUCAUCUAUUUUCUUUUUUAUACUCGUUACCACACAACCUAAGGCCUGUUUGGAAUCUUGAUUUUUUACCAAAUUUGUAUAAAACUAGUUAUUUAACAACUUUUGUUACAGGAAUCCCAAAAAAUUUAUCAAAGUUUUUAACCUACAUACCCAUCUAAUACACAAAAAAUUUCCCUUCAAUUUUUCUUCUUUUCCCUCCCUUACCCAACCCACCAUGUCCUUUGGCACUAGCCACCACCUCUACUACCGCUCCCGGUGCCGGUCAACAAUUUCGGCACUGCCUUCCUCUUUUUUUUUCUCUCUCUCUCUCCCUCACCCCCCUCUUUCUCUCGACCUCCCCUUCCCUCUUCCCCUCUCUCUCCCCCGCCACCCUUCCCCUCUCGCGACCAGAUCACAAAAGUGGAGGGGGAGGGGGGCUGCAAUCUGGUUGCGCGACCAGAUCGCAGCGAAGAGAAAGGGAGAGGUGGUGGGGGAGAGGGGAGAAGAAGGGGUGACGGGCAAAAGCUAAAAAAAAAAUUUAUGGCUUCCAUUACUCUGGCGUGUGACUGCUGAGAGCGACAGGGAUGGGGGAGGGGGGAGAAAAAAGGGUGGCGGGCAGAGGGGGUGGGGCAGAGAGAGAAGAGGGGCGUCAAGGGAGAGGGGAGGAGAAGGGGUGACGGGAGAGGGAGAGGGAGGGAUGGCGGGCAGAAGGGGGUGGCGGGGCGGAGAAGAGGAGUGGCGGGGGAAGGAAGGGGAAUGGGCAGAGGGGCGGCGGGAGAGGGAGGGGGUGGCGGGGGAAAGGGGAGGAAAAGGGGUGGGGGUAGAGGGGGUUGGCGGGAGAGGGAGAAGAGGAGUUGCAGGGGAAGGAAGGGGAAGGGGAAGGAAGGAAAAGAAAAAAGAAAGAAAGAAAGAAAAAAAGAAAAAGAAAAGGAAAGAAAGAAAAGAAAAAGGAAAAAAAGUUUUUCAUCUCACACAUGUUUUUCUACAAAAGUUUUUCUACAAUUUCUACAGUGAUUUUCAGUAAAGUUUUAUAUAAAUACUAAAAAACCUCACCUUCCAAACAGGCCCAAGUUUUGGAUCUGAGACUUCCUAUUUGUAAUUUUAAAAAAAAGAAUUGAGGAAUGAUGUUUAAUGUUACAUUUUUCUCUAUUUUUUGUCAUGUUUUUAAUGUUAAUUUUUAUCAUCGAAACCACAGCAAAGAAAGGAAAAAUGAUAGCAUUUGAAAGGUAACAAUUUUGUUUAGAUAGAAGAUUAUUUGUAAAAUUUAUCAAUUGGACUAGAUGUGAAUAAAAAGCAAAAUAUUUGGGAUUAUAUUUGUUUUUGUUUGAACUGGACUAAAAUUGCUUGUGUUCCAAACAUUGCGAAUCAAAAUUUUAAUUCUCUCAUUUUCUCUUAUGAGUAAAUUAUCUCGGUCGCCGCCAAACUUUUGGAAUCGUUGAAUUUUGACUAUUGAAUUAUUAAAAGUUUGGUUUUGACCAUUAAACUAUUCAAAGUUUAGAUUUUGAACCAUUCCGUUAGGUUUAAUCAUUAAACAUGACAGAUCUGAGUGUUCGCAUAAUUUACAAGAUAAAAGAAAAGGACAUAGUUAACGAUUAAAUCUGAUAGAAUAACCCAGAAUCUAAAUUUUAGAUAAUUCAGUGGCCAAAACUCAAUGAUUCCAAAAGUUCAUUAACCAUUCAAAUAAUUUGCUCUUUUGCAAUUAUUAGCCCCUCUUUAUAUUGAUUGAUCAAUAGCUUCCUUCUUUCUUUCAUUUUAUUUCUUUUCCAAAUUUGCAGACACAUCAUCGAAUAUUUCUAAUAUACAGCAUACAUGGUAUUAAAAAAUAACAAGAAAAAAGGUUAAUUACCACAUUCACUCCAAACCUAUCAUUAAUUUGUGCUCUGCCACUUAAGUUAUGUAUUUCAACACUUAAUAACUGAUAAUUUGUGUACUUAAAGGUAAACAAGCAGAAUGGACGGGAUACAAAAGAAUCGAGAAUAAUGAUCUAUACCCAAGAAAUUCGAUGUUGCUGUAAGAACUGAAUAAAUUGUCAGUACUAAAUUUAAUACAUUUGAAUAUAUAUUACAUUAAGUGAUAAAUGAAUAACUUAUGAUUUAUUUUUUUUGAACAAAUUUUGUCUAGAAAAUUCAGUACCACUUAAUGAAUUCAGAUGUUCUAAUUUUGGUUAUCAAAUGCAUCUGAAUAUAUUAAGAUCUCAUUAAAUUUAAGUGUUAAAUUGAAUUAUCAAAUCUACAAUAUUGGCAGUAAUCAGUCUAGGCUCCAAGAGUUUCACAAAGUUGUACAGUUUUAAAUCCGAGGGAAACAAGCAUGGGAAAAGACAUCACAUCUGUUGAACGACGCGUGUUUGUUGACCAAUGCGUUUUUUGCUUUAUCCCACAUCGACAGAAGCCAAAGGAAUUCUUCCUUUGGUUUCCUAUAAAUAAGGGAACCUUAUGAAGGUUUUAAAUCACACCACUCAAGAGAGCAUUAUAUGAGUUAUUAGUUUUUUGGAUCAUCUAACCCAUUUAUAGUCAAAUAUUUUAGACUCUCUUGUUUUGAGUUUAGAAAUAUUUUCUAAACCUUUUGUAAGUGUCAUUGUGGUCUAAGAACCACUUUCCUACGGCUUUUAUAUUUUUUUCUUCAUAGUAGAAAUAUUGCUCCUCCCUCGUCUGUGCACAUAGGUCAAUUUGACCGAAUCACGUAAAUUUUGGUGUCUUUUAUUUUGCUUUGUUAUUUAUUUUUAUUGGAUUGCCACAACCCUUUUAUAUGAUUGAUUUUACCGCCUAAUCAUUAUAUGGUCGGUUAUACCGCCUAAGUAUUAUAUGAUCGGUUAUGUCACUUAUUUUGUUCUAAUUUUAGUUUGUUUAUUCCUGGGUCAGUCCUAACAAAUUGGUAUUAGAGAUGGUUAAUAUAUUUUGGAAGAUAGGUUCAUCUUGUGGGGCUCGUUCAACUUGUGGGGUCUGUUCAUCUCGUGGGGCUCGUUCACUCGUGAGAAUCAUUUAUCUGUGGGUCCCGCUCAUCUCAUAGGGCCCAUUCAUCCCUGUGGGUCCGCUCACCCUGUGGGGCUCAUGAGACUUGUAUAUUUGUUUGACUAGUUUAUUGAGAUAAACUUCAAGUUACAGAUUUUGUGACAACAAUAACGAUAUCAAGGAUGGUUGUCUAGAAAUUCGACAGGAAUGUCAAUUUCGGAAUGUGGCAACUCAAGAUGGAGGUCAUUCUUGUUCAAGACGGAGUUGAUUUGGCAAUUCAGAGAAAUGAAAAAAAGCCAGAAGAUGUAAAUGAUGCGGAUUUCGUCGAUAUGGAUAAGAAGGCCAAAUCCAGCAUAAUCUUAAAUCUCUCCGAUGAGAUAUUGCUUGAGGUAACAAUGGAGACUUCGGCCAAGGUUAUGUGGGACAAAUUAAAAGCAUUGUAUAUGAAGAAAAUAAUUGAGAAUCGGUUAUAUCUGAAACAGAGUUUGUAUAUGCUUCGAAUGUUUGAAGGUACAUCUAUAGUCUCACAUCUUGAUAAAUUUGAUUCCAUUAUUAUGGAUUUGGAAAAUAUAGAUUCAAAAAUUGAUGAUGAAGAUCAAGCCCUAUUACUUUUGUGUUUCCUUCCUCAAUCUUUUAAACAUUUCCGUGAUAUUAUGAUUUAUGAAAAGGAAACAAUUUUGUAUUGAAAAAUUAAAUCUGCAUUAAAAUCUAAGAGCAGAUAGAUAGAGAUAUUAUUGGGAAAAUUAGUAGGAAUCAAACCGAUGGCAUGUUUAUUCGGGGUAGAUAUGAAAAGAGAAACACAGAAAUAGAAGUAGAUCAAAAUCCAGACAUAAAAAUAUGGUAUGCAACUAUUGUAAAAAGAAGGGUCAUGUUAUCUCUGAUUGUUUUAAAUUGAAAAAUAAAGAAAAGCAAAAGGAGAAAAGGAGUGAAAGUACCGAGUGUAGUAUUGCCGUUGAUGAGAAUGAUGGAAUCAUUUUCUGUGUAACAGAAAAUAAUUUUAGGUCUAACAGUGAGUGGAUUUUAGAUUCGGGUUGUUCAUAUCAUAUGUGUCCUAAUAGGGACUGAUUUUCAAUAUAUGGAUCAACUGAAGGUGGAGUUGUCUUAAUAGGUAACAACGCCGUUUGUAAAGUUGUUGGCAAAGGUACAAUUCGGAUUAAAAUGUAUGAUGGUAUUGUGAGGACGCUCACAAAUGUUAGACAUGUUCCAGAUUUGAAGAAAAAUCUCAUCUUUUUGAGCACUUUUAAGUCUAUUGGGUGCAGGUAUUCAGGUGGAGAUAGAGUUCUCAAAAUCACUCGAGGUGCUCUUGUUGUUAUAAAAGCACACAGAUCUGAUACUUUAUAUAUUUUUCAGGGAUCUACUGUUACAGGUGCUGCUACUAUUUCAACAUCAUCUUUGUCAGAUACCGACAUCAUCAAAUUAUGGUAUAUGCGUUUGGGGCACAUGAAUAAAAAGGAUUGGACAUACUAAGCAAAAGAAAGCUUCUUUGUGGACAAAGUACCAGACCAUUGGAAUUCUGUGAACAUUGUAUUUUUUGGAAGCAGAAAAGAGUCAGCUUCAAUUCACCAGCAAUUCACAAGACAAAAGGUACUUUUGAUUACAUUCAUUCAGAUCUAUGGGGCCCUUCUCGUGCUCUUUCCAAAGGAGGUGCCAGGUACAUGUUGACUUUCAUUGGUGAUUAUUCAAGAAAAGUUUGUAUAUAUUUUCUUAAGCAUAAAAAUGAUAUUUUCCUAACUUUCAAGCAAUGGAAAGUUUUGAUUGAGAAACAAACAGGAAAACAUAUAAAGCGGUUGAGAACAGAUAAUGGUAUGGAAUUUUGUGAAGGCGAAUUUAAUGAAUUUUGUAGGAAUGAAGGAAUUAUUCGGUAUCACACUAUCAGAAUGAAGUCUCAACAAAAUGGUAUGGCCGAACGUAUGAACAGAAUAUUUUUGGAGAGAGCGAGAUAUCCGAUCUCCAAUGCAAAGUUGACAAACGACUUUUGGGUAGAGGCAAUCAAUAUGGCCUGUUAUAUUGUCAGCCGUUCUCCUUCUGCAUUUCUAAAUUUCAAAACUCCUGAGAAAGUUCGAUCAGAUACUCCUGCUGAUUAUUUCAAUUUAAAAGUUUUUGGGUGUCUAGCAUACAUGCACGUGAAUGAUGAAAAAUUGGAGUUUAGGAUUAAAAAGUGCAAUUUUCUUGGGUAUGCUUCUGGGGUGAAAGGAUACAGAUCAUGGUUUCCUGAUCCCAAAUCUCCAAAAUUUGUAAUCAGUAGAGAUGUUACUUUUGAUGAAUUGUCUAUGUUAUCUUCCAAGAAGGAGUCUUCUAGUCAUUGUAUUACUGAAAGUACACAGAAGCAGGUGGAGCUUGAUAUUGGCAGUUCUGAUUCUUCUCAAACCAAAUCUUCUAUUCAGCAAGUGCCAGUAGAUGCACCUGAAUCUACUGUUGAAGAUAGUUUAGAAGAAAAAGAGUAUUUCAUAGCCAGAGAUAGACCAAGGAGAGACAUUCGACCACCACAAAGAUAUACAAAUUUAGCUACAUAUGCUUUGUCUGCUACAGAAGAAACUGAUGCAGUUAGUGAACCUUCCAUAUAUUCAGAAGCAGUUUCUUGUGAUGAUUCUGCAAAGUGGUUGAUUGCGAUGAAUGAAAAAAUUGAAUCUCUUCAUCAGAAUGAAACUUGGGUUCUUGUAAAACCGCCGUCAAAUAAGAAAAUAGGUAGUUGCAAAUGGAUCUUCAAGAAAAAAGAAGGUAUUUCAGGGGUUGAAGAUGCAAGAUAUAAAGCACGAUUGAUUGCAAAGGGCUAUAACCAGGUAUAAGGUAUUGAUUUUAAUGAUGUGUUUUCACCUGUUGUUAAACAUAGCUCUAUUCGUGUUUUGCUUGCUUUAGUUGUCAUGUAUACUUUGGAGUUAGAACAGCUCGACGUUAAGAAAGCUUUCUUAGAUGACGAAUUUGAAGAACAAAUUUAUAUGAGACAACCCCAAGAUUUUGAAAUUGAAGGUAAGGAAGACCAUAUUUGCUUGUUAAAGAAAUCCUUAUAUGGAUUGAAACAGUCUCCAAGACAAUGGUAUAAAAGGUUUGAUUCUUUUAUGUUGGGUCAUAGUUAUUUGAGGAGCAUGUAUAAUAGUUGUAUUUACUUCCGAAAGUUAAAUGAUGGUUCUUUCAUUUAUUUGCUGCUUUAUGUUGAUGAUAUGCUCAUUGCUGCCAAGAAUGUGUCAGAAAUUCACACUUUGAAAUUACAGUUAAGUAGUAAAUUUGAAAAAAAAUAUGUAGGAGCAGCUAAGAAAAUUCUUGGCAUGGAUAUUAAGCGAGAUCGAGAAGCAGAGAAGUUGUUUUUGACUCAAGAAAAUUACCUAAAGAAAGUCUUAGAGCGCUUUGGCAUGAAAAAUGCAAAACUUGUAAGUACUCUUCUUGCUAGCCAUUUUCGGCUAUCUGCUGCUCAAUCACCACAGUCAGAUAAAGAGAAAAAUUAUAUGACACGGGUUCCUUAUUCCAGUACAGUCGGCAGUAUUAUGUAUGCAAUGGUUUGUAGUCAUCCAGAUAUUUCACAAGCAGUCAAUGUUGUUAGUAGAUAUAUGUCUUGUCUAAGUAAAGAAUAUUGGCAGGCUGUGAAGUAAAUUUUCAGAUACAUGCAAGGGAUUUCAAACAUUUGUUUGGAGUUUGGAAGAAAUAAAAUCACGCUGGUUGAUUUUGUAGAUUCAGAUUACGUCGGGGAUCUUGACAGAAGAAGAUCACUUUCAAGCUAUGUAUUCUGCAUUAGGGAUUGUGCAGUCAGUUGGAAAGCUACUUUACAACCCGUUGUGACUCUAUUUACUACGGAGGCAGAAUACAUGGCAGUGACCAAGGCAAUCAAAGAAGCCUUGUGAUUGAAGGGCUUAUUUGGCGAGUUUAAUCUACAUCAAGGUGUUACAGUUAUUCACUGUGAUAGUCAAAGUACUAUACACUUGACUAAAGAGUAGAUGUAUCAUGAGAGAACAAAACACAUUGAUAUAAAAUAUCAUUAUAUAUCCAGAAUAUCAUUGUUGAAGGGAAAAUCCUUGUCCGAAAGAUCAAUACCAAGGAGAAUCCUGCUGACAUGUUUACAAAGUUUCUUCCAGUUUACAAGUUCAAGCAGUGCUUGGACUUGGUUGGUGUUCAUUGUUCAUGAUUUAGGUCCAUUGGGAUUUAUAUGGAGAAGGUGGAGCAAUUUUGCUAUUGUCAAUAUUGGGGACUCAUCAAGGUGAAAAUUUGUUGAACGACGCGUUUGUUGACCAACGCGUUUUUUGCUUCGUUCCACAUCGAUAGAAGCCAAAGGAAUUCUUCCUUUGGUUUCCUAUAAAUAAAGGAGCCUUAUGAAGGUUUUAAAUCGCGUCGCUCAAGAGAGCAUUAUAUGAGCUAUUAGUUUCUUGGGUCAUCUAACCCAUUUAUAGUCAAAUAUUUUAGAUUCUCUUGUUUUGAGUUUAUGAAUAUUUCCUAAACAUUUUGUAAGUACCAUUGUGGCCUAGGAACCACUUUCCUACUGCUUUUGUAUUUCUUGUUGAUAGUAGAAAUAUUGCUCCUCCCUCGUCUAUGGACGUAGGUCAAUUUGAUCGAACAACGCAAAUUUUGAUGUCUUUUAUUUUGCUUUGUUAUUUGUUUUUAUUAGGUUGCCACAACCCUUUUAUAUGGUCGAUUUUACCGCUUAAUCAUUAUAUAGUCGAUUAUAUCGCUUAAAUAUUAUAUGGUCGGUUAUACCACCUAUUUUGUUCCAACUUUAGUUUAUUUAUUCCUAAGCCAGUCCUAACAACAUCUUUACGUUGCAGGCAUGGGAAGGAUGAAAGCACCAUACAUUCAAGCUCUUCUUGUUUGAUGACAUGUGGUAAAUGAACAAUAUAAUGGUUUUGAAGUAGGAAGUUCAAAAAAUCCAGAUUCUUAAUGCUAUCAUCAAGGAAGAAAAGUUCGAAGUUCUUGAAAACGCGAAAGGCAGAAUGGAAAAAGAGCAAGAAAUUGGAAUUUGGCCAUCCAAUUUUGAGUCAAAUUUCAAAACUUGAAACAGCUUUCCAACAAAAUCAAGUUGCAGAAUAUGGACUUUGAAUGAUAAUUUAGCACCUUAACGAAUUAAUAAUAAUAUUUUGCAGAGAAACUAGUACGCUUUUCCUUCAUAAAAUGGUAAUAUGUUAUUGUACCAGCAUGUUUACCUAAAUGCCGAAUCGAGUCAUAAACAAACAUUGAAGACUGAAUUUUAUUUUCCCCUACAAAAUUUCCAGUUAUGAAAUGGCAAGGUGAAUUUGUUUGGAAACAAUUAUCAUAUAGUACUGUUGAGUAAACAUCUAUUUCCUAACAAUCACUUUUAUAGCUUAUGCUCAACCUGUCAAGGACGAAAGGCAGACAAGUCUUAUACCUUACCCUGAUAAGCCUGUAUAGUUUCUGUUGUACAAUGUAAUGAUGGAAAAGGAUUCGAGACUCUACCAAAAUUUGUCAAUUCGCAGAGCUUAAAGAGAUCAAAUUGAUGAUGAGGAUUCAACAAACGAGUAUUGCCCAGUUUACAUUGGACCUCGAGGGGUUGAAGGAGGCCAACAAAAUCAUGGCAUUGCCAGGGCAACCAAAACGAGUGAAUUUUGAUCUGUAUUCUGGGUACGUCACUGUUGAUCCUAAGGUUGGUCGAGCUCUCUUUUACUAUUUUGUCGAAUCUGAAAACACUUCUAGCAAACCUCUUUUGCUGGCCAUCACGUACCUCAACUUGUCCUCCAUAACAACAAAAUAACUAACCAAGCAGUGAUCAACUUGAAAGGAAUUGCAGUCAGUUUUAAUCUCUUCUUUUUCCUUUAUUGGUUCCAUGAACGUUUGUUGUUUGAACAUCUACAAUCUAUAUGUUCUGCAUCUAAUGGUGAUAUUUCUUGUUAUUUUCAGAUUGGAAAUGCAAUUCUGGAUACAGAAACGGAAUGGAAGGGGCAACAUGAUUUUUUGUGGUCACACAGCCUAAUACCUGAUGAAAUGUAUUAAGGUUUAGUUACAAAUUGCGUUGCUACAGAUGGUUCCGUAUCAGAUGCUUGUGUAAACUACCUAGAACAAGAGGGAAAGGCACUUGGCAAUAUCAAUUAUUAUGACAUAUAUUCUCCCUUGUGAUCUUCUGCUUCAAAUACUCCUUCGGUAGAAUGUGAUUCUUCAUUUAUGACAUUAUCACCUCUCUAUUCUCAUCUGAAUGAAAUAUCAAAUCACCUUUGUUCCAUGAUUGAAAUAGAUAUCUGGAGCAGAUCCAUGGGCGGAUGAUUAUGCAUUAUCCUACCUAAACAAUCCUGACGUGCAAAAAUCACUUCAUGCGACUACAACAGGAACAUCUGGACCUUCGAGUUUGUGCAGGUACGUAUGGAAUCAUACCAUUACAUUAUUUAAAAUCAUUAUUCCAAUAUAUGUGCGUUUCUGUACACUUUACUCUGAAUUACCAACAUAGUUCUGUUACUUGGAUUUUCAUUUAUAGCAACUCCAUUAAUUGGACAGAUAGUCCAGACCAUGGUUCAAAGGCGUGGUUGCGGUCAAGGUCAUGACACAGACCGUUCCAUAUUGGUUUCAACGUAUUGGUGACGGUCUCGACCAGAUGCAAAUUUUUGAUAAUAAAAAAAUAGCAAAAAUAAUAAAAAUUCGAGUUAAUUCAAGGCAAUUCGGCCACUUUUAUCUUUCUCGGAGACGUCUUGGCCGAGUUCUCGGCGAUCCAUUAUCUCGGAGUAAUCUCGUCUCGGUAUUGAAAUGGAAAGCCCUGUUCUGGUGACAACUCGGUCGAAUCGUCUCGGUCUCGGCCGAGUCUUUGAACCGGACACAGUUUUACCUACAAUCAAGGAGCUAAUGGCAAGUGGCAUCAACUUGUGGAUUUAUAGGUAACUAAGUGAUGACCUUGUGGUUGUGUAAAAGCUAGCAUUAACGAGAUUCUACCUUUCCAUUUCAUGUGUAAACUAAGAAAAUGGAACAAUUUUGAAUUGAAGUGGAGAUACAAAUGACUUUAAUACCUGUGACUGACGGCAACUAGGUAUGCGAUAAACAAGUUAGAGGUAUCUGUGAAAAGGAAAACCACUUUUCAUCCUUGGCACACCCAAGGCGAGGUAACAAAAGGCUGAAUCUCAGAUGUAUUAUACCUUUUUCAAGUCAUUUUUAUUUCUGUCCAACACUUAGUGUUGAAUAAACGUGAUCUAAAUCAGGAUUGAUCAGGUUGGAGGAUAUGUGGUGGAAUAUCAGAAUUAACAUUUGUGACCGUACGAGGAGCUGGACUUUUGGUUCCUCGCUAUCAGCCCGCUCGCGCACUUGCUGUAUUCUCAUCCUUCAUGGAAGGACAGCUUCCAUCAUCAAGCUAGAACAAGAUGAAAUGGUGAAAGAGAAAAGGAUUUUGAUUAGUGUGAUCGUUGUUUCCAGUAUAGUUGAACCAAAACAGGUUUCUGUACUUUGCUUCAAUUCUAUAAUAUUAUGGGGUCUUGGUAUGUACCCCAGCUUUGUGGCUUGGUCACCAUACAGCUAACCUUUAAUCCGAGAUUAGUCUAGUUUAUACUUGUUCAAUCAUCUAAUUUGACCACGUUUGGAGACAUACUAAUUACUACAUUUUAGCACAUCCGCCCUCAAGAAAAUAUUGAAUUUACAUUCCUAGAUGAAAGUUACAAAGAUGGCAUUUCCUUGGCUUCAAAUCCUCGGUCGCAUUUCUUGAGGCACUAUUGACUGAUAACCUUUCGAGUCACAGAUGCCUUGAACAAACCCUUUGAGAAUUGAAUGGUGCCGCUAAUUCAGCUUCCACUACUGACACUGCUAUAUCCAAAUUGCUUGACCAAUCCUCUGCUUUCCAUUAACCUCCGUACUCUCACAGCAUCAUCUGGUCUUCCAGCUUUAGCAUAUAGAUUUGACAAUGUCACGUAGUGUCCAGCAUUUUCUGGCUCCAGAUUGACCAGAUGCUCUGAAGCCAGGACUCCAAUUCUUAUGCUUUGCUGUUCUAGAGAGGCAGCAAGUAUAGAACCCCAGAUAUGUUUAUCAGGCCCAUGAGGCAUUUUUCUGAUGAAGUCAACAGCAUCAUCCAGCUGACCAGCACGUGCUAGUAAAUCAACAAGACAUGUAAAGUGUCCUGUCUGAGGUUUGAAGCCAAAAUCAGUGCUCAUCCUGUCGAAAAUCUUGAGACCCUCGUUUACAAGACCAGAAUGACUGCAAGCUGACAGCACAGAAGCGAAUGUCAAAGAGCUGGGGCUAACACCAGAACUACACAUCUCUUCAAGGAGUUUAACAGCUGCUUGGCCGCAGCCAUUCAUUCCAAAGGCUCGAAUCAUUGUAUUCCAUGAUACCAAAUCCCGCGAUUCCAUUUGAGAAAAUACCGAAUAGGCAAUAUCAACAUCUCCACAUUUGGCAUACAUGUGAAUGAGUGCGUUACAAACCGGACUUGCUAGAGUAAAAUUGCCUUUUAUAAUGUAGGCAUGGAUUUGUUUCCCGAGUUUCAGGUCACAUACUGGCAAAAGAGUGGAAACUGUUGUGUGAUCAUUCUUAAUUCCCAUGCUUUGCAUGUCUGUGAAGCACUUCACAGCCGAAUCCACCCUUCCUAAUUCGGCAAAGCCAAGAAUCAUGGCGUUCCAAGUUACAACAUCAGACGUAUCCAUCAAGCCAAAUACAUGCUCUACGUCUUGAGCUCUCCCACACUUGGCGUAUAGGGCAGCCAAGGCAGGCCCAGCUGACUUGUAAAAUGCAUUCCCUAGUUGAACUUUAAUCCCAGAAGCAUGAAUCUCUUGUCCAAAUCUCAACACCCCAGAAUGUUGACAGGCAGCAAGGACACUGGAAAGGCAGUCUACAUCCGGACAAACUUUUCCUCGGCGAACCAUAGUCCUAAAAAGAUCCAGAGCUUCUACAUGUUUUCCUAUUCUAGAAUAACCAGAUAUCAAAAUUGUCCAUGAUAUUACAGUAGGUUCCUCAAUCUGCCUAAAUAUUUUCAAUGCGUCGUCACAUUGCCCCAUUCGACAAUAAGCAUCCAUUACAGAAUUCCAAGCUACAAUAUCAGGCUCCAUCCCAUCCAAUCUCAUAGACCCCAGCAUUCCCACAGCCAGCUCAGCAAAUUCAUUAUAUACGUACCCUGAAAUCAUUGCAUUCCAUGACAACAAAUCUCUCCCCACCAUAAGAUCAAAAACCAACCUUCCAGAACCAAGCUCCCCACAUUUUGAAUACAUAUCAAUCAAAGCAUUGCAAACCCGGACAUUAAUUUCCACUCCACACACAAUUACAUCUUUAUGAAGCUGAAUGCCAACUUCUAAAUGCAAACUCACAGCGCACGCUUUCAAAGCCUUCGGAAACACGUAAUUAUCAGGCAACACACCCUUGAGUUUCAUUUCUUUGUAAGUGAAUAUGCACUCGUUAAAAAUCCCAUUUCGCGAGUAGAACGCAAUGAUAGCAGUCCAAGCGAACACGUUUGGUUCAGACAAUUUGUCAAACAACCGGCGGGCGAUCUCUAUCUUGUUGCAGUCUGCAUACAUUUGAACCAAUUUGGUAGACAUGAAAUAAUUCUGUUGAAGCCCAUUAAUGAUGAUUUGCUGAUGGGCCUGUUUUCCUUGGUUUAGCGCUUUAGAAUUGCUGCAGAGUUGAAGCAAAUGGUUGAGUUGAACUGGGGUAGGUAAUUUGAAAUUGGUAGUGUUAACAGAAGAAAUUUGUCUACGAACAGUCCAAAAUAGUCUCAUCCAAAUGGCAGUAGAGUCGCAUCUGGGUAGCUAAAUAGAAGUUGGUGUACAAAUAUACGGAUAUGUCAAAUAUUUCUUCGUGUCAAAUUAUUCUGAGGAGGGGACAAAAAAGGGUGUAACUCAUGGGACAAUGAACACACAUUUACUCAAUUUUCAAUGUCGAGAUUUUGCUAGUACUUAAGCGUGGACAAUCACAUAUCAUAAAGACAUAACCCAAAGUCUGUCUACUUCAAUAAAUCAAACAUGAUUCUUAAAACACUACGGAAAAAUCCAUAUAUAAUCCCGAUAGAGGACAGAAAAUGGAAAAUAAAUAAAUAAAUAAAAACCCAAGACACGAGGAGGUGGGAAUAAGAAUUUUAAUACCACUGGUACUAUUUAAUUUGCAAUUUGAAGAAGUUAAUAGAACAUUUGGCAUGUAUGACAAACAUGGAAUCCACUCAUUCAACUAACUACUGUAGAUAAAACAGGAAAGAACUUAAAGAAGUUUCUAAAUCUCUAGGAAACAGAUAUGACCCGGGAUUGGACAUACUACAGCCUUUUGAAAGCUUGUAUAAUACAAUAAUGUCUGAAGAAACAGAAGAGUAAACCCGAAAAACAACCGUUAUACUGCUUCUACUGAGCUUGAGAUUUCUGGCGCUUUAUGUACUGAAGGAUUGGCUCUCUGACCUGUGAAAGAAAAUGGUACAUCUCAGGAGAGAAUUAUAUCAGGAUGACAAAUAUCUAACCAGUUUAUGGCGGCAAAUUUAGAGCAUACCGUGCUUGCUUUCCUGUAACGCUUGCCUUGUGUAGACCUGCUACAUAAAACAGUGUCAACUUCAUCUUGGAGAUUUGCGUUUGAUUUUUCUCUGCCAUUCUCAGCCCCAGCAGCAAAACUCUCCCCAGAAGCCACGGGCUGUCAAACGCCAAUACGUUAAAAUCAAACCACUGAAAUAUAUCAACAAACAGAUAGAAUUGUGUUGCUUUCAAUAGAUGGUUUUUGUCAUUUCAUGACUGAAAAAACCUCAGCUCUACUCAUGGGCGUAUUUCCGUGCUCCUUUCUCUUUGAGACGGUGUGCUCGCUCCUAAUAGAGCCAUUCUCAUAUCCAUCAGAUCGGCCUCUGGUACGUGUAAGAUCUGAUCCAAUAGAGUGAAGGCCACCACAGGUGGACAAAUCCUUGUGACUAUUUCCUAAUUAGCCACCAACAACAUCAUUAAUUUCCAUUACAGCAUGCAAGAGUCAUCUCUCUCAUCCAAAAGUACAGAGGAGAUAUGAUCAAGUACCAUUUGCCUCAAUCUCUGGACGGUUGGCCUUUUUAGUAGAUUCAUUCACAUCCACAUCCUGGCCAUAAAAAAGUUGAUUAGGAAUAAUUAAAGACGUGCACUAUUAUAUAAGCCUUCUAAGUGAAAGUGUAAAAAACGACGACUAUCACCAUGGCAUCCAAGUCCAGGGCUUUCUUGACUUCCAACAACUUUUUCUCUGUCAGGUCUGAGUGUAUGACUCGCCUCCCUAAGACGAAAACUGAAAAAUGUAAAUGAUACAGCUGCUUCCAAACAUAAAGACUAGACGACGUGUUUGAACUGAAUGUACCUAAUUUGCGGUUACUGUUAGCCUCAACAAAGCCAUCUUGGGUCAUUUUAUUUAUUAACUUCCGCACAGUGGUCAGGUUGGCUUCUCCAUCGAGUUUACUCUGAAGCUUUGCAGCAGUGAUGUAGUUCAUUGGGAGAGCAUGAUACAAAGCCUGAAAAAAAGAGAGAACCAUUUUACAAGCUAUGUAGGAAUAUAGGAAAGAAAUAGCGACCUGGAGAGCAACUUGACUUCAUAACCACAGUCUUCGUCAAAUGUGAUGCAGGGAUAACCGAAUUUUGAUGAACUCCAAGUUAUCCUACCCUUUAUUUAGAUUCUUAUUUUCCACGUUUUACCUCAAAAUUCUUAUUUAGUCAAUCAAACCGGACUCGCAAUAAAAAACAAAGCAGCUCUGCCCAUCGGUUCCAGAGGAUGUGCAGUAGUCGAAUUGGAAAAAAAUCUCUUCUUGAAACAAAAACAACAAUUGUUGCAUUUCCAUAGUAAUCAGGCAAUAAAGAAUCAAUAGACCCAACUAAAAAUUUAAGCAUAAAGUAGACAACAUAGCACACUCUUCAGCAGUUCUUUCUAUUUCCUUUUCUGGUUACAUAAAACCAAUGGCAGCUCAUAUUGCAUACUCAUGAGCUCAGUAGUAUGCUGCAACGUAUCCUUAAAUGAGGUUGACAUGCUUUACAGAGGAAAUUCUGAUGGUCCAAAAGAUUAGCUGCUAAAUGAUAUUAAAUUUUGCCAAACGUGGACAAGAAAUUUCAAAAUAACUCACCUUCAUGUACAUAAGACCAUCAUCUGUACUGUACUUUCCAAUUGGUAACAUUUGAACAUUGGUUUCUUCUUUCACAACAUCAAAGUCAUAGUCAAAUUUCUGCAAUUGACACAUUGCCAAAAAGGGAAAAAAAUUAAGACACGACAACAAAUAUGAGUAAAAAAUGCUAAUCAACCAAUGAAAAAGUGCUACCUUCUUUUUGUUGAUAUUAUAACUGUCUUCACCAGAUUUUGAUAGUACACCUUCCUUAAUGAGCUUAUCCAUGAUUUCUGAUACGAGUAAAACCAGGACGAAAUGAUGAAACAGUGGCAACAGUAAGUUUGUUUUGUAAUCAGCUUUAGCACAAAACAGGUCUCUGAGUUACCUUCAAUCAAAACCUGCAAUAGAAAUUUACAAUGAUAGCAUGAACCAUACUCCUUUACUAUGAAGGUGCUUAAUUAAGCUUAUUAGAAGAUUUUCAAAGAGAUCGAUUUUCUUUAACAUAAUUUCACCAUAUAAACUACUGCUUACCACUGAGAUAUCUGGAAAGUUUGCGAGAAUGUCAGUAAGUUCAAUGGUUUCAAGGUGGUACGUGUUGAUCCAGUCCUUUACCCGCUCUAAUUGUUGUCCAUCCUCUGCCGGAUCCUGAGUAUCAUCUGAACAAAUAGCUUGCCAUGGAUCAGAUUGUGAUCCUGAAGUCCAGUAUUAUUUUUUAAGCAAGUAGAUGUAUACCUUCGUCAACAGUGGUGCCAUUUUCAGGACCCUGCUGCUUUUCUGCCAAAAGAAUAAUUAUUUGCUGAAUUACAUAAAAAAGGUGAAUCUUCAAGAAUUUGCAAAGCACAACACAAUAAUGUCCAUUUACCGACUGGCGCAACUAUGUAUUGAUCUUCAUCUGACAUACUGGCCUGAAAUGAAUUCCAGUUAAAAAGUUUUAGUAUGUUGCAACAUCUUGAAUUAUGUAUGCAAGAGGGAAAGUUUAAACAGAAAGUGCUAUUGAGACAUUACAUCACUAUCAGAAUCACUAUCUCCGUCAGUCUGAGAAGAAUCAGCAGCUCCCAAGCUCACUUCAUCCUGGUUUUCAUCAUGUUCAUCCUCACAAGGAUCAAGCACACUCUUAACCUACACAAGUUCCCAUCACAAUCAAUGUGGAUUAGAUGCAGCCCUUGACCUAAAUAGCAUAAUUUCCCGCAGCUACAUCAUUUACCUUCAGAGUUAGUACCAAAUGCUUGCUGUUGACAUUUCCAACCUCCAUCUUGAGAGGAAUUUUACUCCAGGGAUUUUGAGCUUCCUCUUCUGUGCAGCCUCGGAAGAAAGGAGGCUCAUAAUCAGCAGGCUGCAAGAUCAAGAGUUUUUCUCUUACUUUAUGUGGACAAUAUAAGGAAGCCAAGCAAAUGCACAACUUUAAAGAAUCCAUAAAUGCAACUUUAUGGAGGUGGAUUAAUCCAUGAGAUACCUGCCAUAUGCAUGGCCAUAACUACUCGAGUCCUAACAGAAGACUAAACUAUCCCCCUCAUAUACUAAUUACCUAAAUAUUUCCGAUAUAGAAGAUUAGAAUACCUCAAAGAGUAUGACAGUAAAUUAUGGGAAUCCUUGAAUAUUUCAAUUUCUGUGUCAUGUACUCCAAAGAAGAAAAUGGAUAGACAAUCUAUGUGUGUAUACAAUUUAACUACCUGAAACUCAAAUAAUAGUUAUUAAAGUUCUUUAGAAACUCAAUAAUACAAUGAGUGGUGGAAAUAACUGGUAAAUUAUAACUUGAUAAAGCACAUACCGUGAUAUCCUCAUACAAGAGCUUCAUCAGGAUAAUACGCUGAAAGAAAAUAAGUAUGUUAGGUUUAGAAUCAUGGAAACAGAAAAUGACCUCAAGUAUGAGUAACAGAAGUAAUUUCAAUUUAAGUUUAAAAAUAACAGUAAAGUACCUCUUCUGGCAUCUGGUCCAGAGUUCUCAUCAGUUGAACCAAUGUUCUGACCAUCUUACAUGCAGAACUCCUGAAAACAAUGGCUUGCAUAAAACUCCAAGCCACUCUUGAAAUAAAGUAACAUUUUCAACAUAACAACAACCAGAAUCUAGAUCCACUUAUCUUGCUUGAACUACCUCAUCUCAUUGGGAGUAACUUCUUUUGUGGAAUUGCAUUUGAAGGUCCCUCCCUUCUUGGUUCCAGAACGAUUAAUGUUCAUUGAAACUUCUUGAGAAUCAGAAUUUGGAUAACUGAAAGAAACUGUGGGAACAAAUGUGUUAAUAUAUGACCAAAGCAACAGUGGAAUGUUAAAAAAACAAAUUUCCUAAAACAGAGAGCAGUAUCUAUGUCCUGCUUUAUGUAUUAUGUUCAUCACUAAGCAAAUUUUAAAGUGGUAUGAACCUAAGCUGUAGAAGCACAAAGGUAGUUCCUCAAGAAAAAAACUAAAAUGCAACUGUCUUUGUCUGAGUUCAUGAUUUAGUGUUGUUGUACAAAAUAUCACAUGUAAAAGAUGAUACGGUGUUGUCAACAUUAUCUCCACGACCACAAAUUCCUGCAGAGCAAAUUUAAAUUGUAGCAUCUUACAUGCAUAUUCUUCAAUCAUUGGCCCUUCAACAGCUUCACACACACAAAAGAGAAGCGUUUUCAGGUACUUCUUCUGUAAUGCAUCAUAAACACCUACAAAUGAAAAGAAACAUGCGUGAAAUAAAAUAGAGAGAAUAAGAUUCUGAGCUAUAAUUCCAGCAGAUAAGGAGAUAGACAGGCCUUUUUCCAUCCAGUCAAUGAGUCUGCGUGACUCCGCAUCCAUUGGCAUUAGUUUCUUAAUUUUCAUAUCUGAUAAUAAGGCAGAGAGUAAUAGAAUCAAUCCUGAAACUCAGUAAGCACAUUUAGCACAAGUGUCAUAGAAAGUUUACCCAAGGCUGGAACAGAUUUGUCAGUGAAAUAUUUCUCAGGGAAAAGGCCCCUGAUGUAACUAAUGUUGAAUAUUGCAAUUCGCAGCAGAUUCCUCGUCUGUUGAUUGUCACAGAUAAAAUAAGAUGGAGCGGUUCGUGGUGUCCUCAACAGAUAAGAGUAUUCAGAUAUUAGAAACCUUAACCAAAGAAAACAAUCUAAAACACAAUCGAGAUUUGCUCCAAGUAAAACAAACAGAAAAUCACCAUUCUCAGUUUUGCAGGAGGUUUUACCAGGGAGAACUUGGUAAAUUAGACUUAUAUUAUGAUUAACAGAGAUUAUAGCACAUAAUUAACCAAAACAGGGGACGAAUCAGAUCUCUCCAUUGGAUAACCGAGUAAUUAAACAACUAUAACUAAAUUCAAUGCUAAUUGUGUGUACAAUUUGCGUAAUACUCCUCUACUCUCUCAUCUCUAAGAGCAAUUUGAUGAACUUGAUCAAAACACAUGAGAUGAACAAGCAAACAUCAGGCAGAAUUCAUCAUUUAAAAGCGCAAUAUCUCCAGUUAAAACUCCAAUACAGUUAAAUUCUUAUGAGAAAUACUCAAGGACGCAAACUGCUUCAAAAGUCAAUAUCUGGAAACUACAUUAGGCCAUGAUUUGUGUAAUUUUUCAUUCAUCAUCCAAAGAUAGAACCUCCAGUGAUCAAAAUUCUACACUAAGUAGCAAAAAGAAGAUCAGAAAAUAUGGCAACUAAAAUGACGGAAACAGCUCCGUUGCAUCAUCUGAUCAAAUUAAUCAAGACAAAAGGCGAAAUAACAGCAUCAUCAACUCGAGCAACAUGCAUACCGAACGUUGAAGAUAGAAGAAAAAGCUACUAGUACUCAAACUUUUAACAACGUAAAACAUUUUUAAAAAAAAUCAAUGGAUUAAAUCACCAGGAGAAGCGAGUCCUGCUCGGUAAUCUCCGAUUCCUUCACUUUCUGCACAACAACCUGAAAACAAAGAGGAAUUCAUGGUUAAAAUUUCUGGAAAUUCAUGCCGCACGCGAUCGGAGCUGAGAAAAAGCGACGAAGUUUGAAGGAAUGCUAAAAAUCUCGAAGAGAUUAUCUUAGCUCACCAUUUUUGUUUCUCGUUCCAGAAUCUGUUAGAGAGAGAGAGUUGGAAAACUUGGAGAGAAGGAACGAAAGAAAAAUUUGAAAUGCGUUUGUAGUAAAACGGAAAGAUGCUGAAAUGGAAUGAAGAAGAAGAAGAAAACUGGCGGGAGUUUAUAUAGAGACGUCAAAGGUAACGCGUGGUUAAUUGCAAUUAACUGUGGUUAAUUGGGCAAUGUGGAUUGCAUGAGGGGAGGGGCAGACUUGUAUUUCUCUUUAAAAGUCGGGGUAUUUGGAUGAAGAAUGGUAUUCGUCUUUUCUAUUUUUGUGGUUUGAGAAAAUAAUAAGGAAUUUACGAUUUUUCCUUUUACUUUCUGUAAUUUAUGAGAAAAUAAAUUAUGGUGACGGAUUAAUCAUAUUAAGCCGGUGUGCAUUUAAUUGGUAAGAAAUUAAACAAAAAGAGUAAAAAAUAUUAGGUUAUUGUGCGAAUGUUGCCUAUGGAAUUUUCUUGUUUUCCAUUUUUUCUUUAUAUAAUUUCAUGGGUUUUUUUUUUUGUAUAUUUUGACAUUUUUUUUAUAUAUAAAUAGGAGGUUUUAAAUUCAAAACUUCCUAUUUACGAUCCCUCCUACUGUACUACCCAACCUAAUUUUAUGAAUGAAUUGUCGCAUUAAUAUAUUGUAAUUCUAUUUCAUAAAUGGAUUUGACACAAUUAUAUUCUAUUACUUUUUGUUUGCAAGGACGUGGAAUAUUAGAGCAAAUAAACAAUUGCAAAAAAAAGAAGAAGAAGAACAGUGAGUGCAGAAUUCUGCAUUGGACUUGCAAUCCUUUGUUCACCUUUUAAACAAUGAAUCUUGUUACAGUUAGGUGCUCUGAGCCACCAUAUUCACAAUGAUUUUGCAGAAUUUUUUGUAUUGCUUCCCUCCUUAUAUUAACAAUGAUGUUAAUUCACCAAAGCUACUCCAAGUCAUUAAGCAUGACUUGUCCAUCUUAGCCUGUGCGUUUGGUUCCCUGAUCUCAACUGUUGAGACCUUCUAUCCUUGAGAAACUAAAGCUUACAGAGAUAUUUCAAGAAAAGUUGGAAAUCAAUCCAGCAUAGCGCAAAAAUUACAAAAUCUAUAAAGAACUUUAGUACUUAUUUUACUAGCCCUUGUAAAACACCCCUCUAAUCUUACAAUGGCAUUCUUAUAGAAGAGAUCGUAUGCCAGAUAACGGCUGCCAACUGGGAAAAAUGGAGCCAUACUACACAAGAAAGAACUAAGCAAGACUAAGAAGUUAAUCUUUUCUUUCCUUUUUUUUUUUAUGGAGGAAUAAGAAGUUAAUCUUCAUCAUUUCUUUUCUAUAAUAUACAAAAGAAAGAACAAUGUCAAACCACCCAGCUAAUCUGCAAUUCUCUCAAACCUAAGACUGCCUUCAUCCAAGACAGCCAUGUGCUUCCUUUUCUUGGAUAAUUUAGUAGAACUUUGCCCAUCAGUGUACUGAGCAGCUGUACGAGCCCGCAGUUCCUCUAAGCUCUCACCUUCUUUUGCUCUCUCCAAAACCUGAAGGUCAGAACGGCAAUCAGAUAACUUGGAACAGAUAUAAUAUAUUCAUGUUUCAAGAGGUCUCAACUAACAUACCAGAUGGCGACCAUACAGAUGGGUGUUAGAAAGAGCUUGAAGAGCAUUCUUUGUCUCUUGCUUUGUCACAUAUUCCACAAAGGCAAAACCUCUGUGCUUCCCGAACCUCAUUGGCAACCUCAAAUGCUUUAUCUGGUUCCGUAUCAUACUUACGAUGUCAGUCAAAGAGAAUAAAUUUCAAUGAAUAUGAUAGAAAAAGAGGCUGUUCAACUUUAGUCCACCUCAAUCGCCAGAAAGAAAGAAAAAACAUUUAAGAACAACCAUACAACAAAAACUUUUUUGUCAGAAGCCCUUCAGCUUGAUUCUCAAUUUAUUUCCCUCCUCUUCUUUACUUUUGGGCCGACAAGGGGGGAGGGGGAGUGUGGUGGUAAGUGGGGUUGCCGCAAUUUUGAUAACUGCCUCAAGAUGAAACCCCAAGGUAUGAUGUAGGACAUUGGCAAGGCGUUGAGUCUUUGCCAGCCCGCCAACCCAACCCCAACCUCUCUUUCUCAUUUUUUGGAAAUUUCAUGAAAGACUUUCGUCCGACUCUAGAAAAACCAACAGAAAACAUUUGACAAGCUAGAAACAACAAAGAAAGAAAAGGAUGGCAUGAUUCUGCUGUCAGGUUUGAAAGAGGCAGCAUAGCACACAGAAGAACUGCAAAUUGUGCCACAACUGAAACUCAGGUGACCUAUAAACCUCAUUAGCUGGUGUGAAACAUGCUUAUCACUGUGAUCAUGUGAGCUUAUAUAUAGCAUAUUGAACUGUCACUGCUGAUUAUGCUUGAUGUUCAAAAUAAACAGAGUUAGUAUCUGUAAUCCACAUGUAAGAACCUAAAUGGAGUGCAGUAGUUCAUUUUGAGGUCUAGUUAUUACUUAACCAAAUAAGUAACUUAUCAAUCAUUGAUUCAACAACACAAUACUCUACUACUUAUGGUCGUGACUCUUAACAUGGCAAUAAGUAAUAGCUACCUGGCCAAAUGGACUGAAUAAUUGUUUAAGAUCUUUCUCCGUCGCCUCAAAAGCUACAUUUCUCACUAUUAAUUUUGUCGAACUCCUAUCAUUCUCCCCUAUUUUAGGCACUUGUUCGUCCUUCUUAGCAUGACAAAGUUGCAAAAUAAGUGCGUGCCCAUCUAAAACAGUUCCCUGGGGCAAGGAAAAGAAACUGAAAUUAGUAACUCAAAACAGUCUAAAAAGGUUUAAAGGUUGCAUGAACAAUAAAUAUUACCUGUAAAUCUCUGCAAACAUUCAUUGCUGUAUCCAUGGAAUCAAACUCUAUAAAACCAAAACCCAUAGAAACAUUUUUCCCAUUCUUUACAUGUUUCUUCACCUGAAUGCGAAAAUCAUUGAGUACAGGAAAGCAUCUAAACAUGUGAGUGAUGACAACAGUAGCACUGGAAGUAACAUGUUCUGAACUGCUGAUGAAGUUAAGAGAAUAAGAAGCAGAAGCACUACCCGGACACUCUGUACUCUUCCUUCCUUCAGGUGUCCGAUGAAAUGCUUUUUCAAGCUCUCAUCAGAUGUUUUGAAGUUCAGGUUUUUCACGUACAAAGAUCUCGACUGUAUGACCAAAAGAUGGCAAACAAAUGAGUUCUAGAAUGGACCCUCAAGCUCAAACACAUGACCCUAAAUGCAGCUCAUGCACCAAAUAACUCGAGAACAUUAUGGAGGUCAAUAGUAGGUAAAUCACUAAGAUCAACAUUGUCUGAAUCAAAUUGUGUUUCCUAAUUGAAGCUUGAUCUAAAGGCAACCAAGCUUUACUCAUUUGCCACAAACAGACAACAGACACACACACACAGACACAGAAGGUAUCAAAAUAUUUUGAAAGAGGAGGGAUUGUUGCAAUGAACCAUCGUUACUUCCCUUCACUUCAUCAAAGGCCACUGGAUAUUUUACCUUAAGAUUAUGUUUCCUAAUUGAAGCUUGAGGCGGUGACAACCAACCUUGACCCAUUCGGAACCUUCACGUAAGGAAUUAAAAUCGUCUGGAGGGGUAUUAGUUGCGAUGAACCAUCUUUACUCCCUUACUUCGUCGAAGGCAGCUAGUUAUCUUGUCUUAUGCUAGUUAUCCUAGAUAUUAUCAUGUGGAAAGAGGAAAGAGAGUUGUAUUUUGUCUAUGACAAGUGUCAACAACUACAAUAAUCAACACACACUAACAGUUUUUACUUUCUCCACAGUGAAGUUUAGUCAAAACACCCGAACCAAGCGGAACUUAUAAUUGGUCAUAUGCGGUGCCUUUAAAGCCAACCAAAUUGAUAACUUUGAAAUCAAGAUAAACAUUAUAAUUCAUGAAAUCCGGGCAGGAGGACACAAGUCCUUUAUAACUCUUAAGUGCAACUAAAGCUUGAGCUGUAACACGCAGGCUUGAAUUUCAUGCAUCCAUAAGUCACAUUUUUCUGAUAACCCCCCCCCCCCCCCAAAAAAAACCACAACCAAAAAAAAACCCCCCAAAAACCAAAAAAAAAAAGAAAAUCAACAACAACAAGACUUCAUUUAAAACAUAGGAACUGUAGAAGGGAGAAGGGACUAUAACCACACUCAGCACCACCUAGUUGAAAACCAAUAGAAGAUUUAAACAAAUACAAUAAUUGUAAGAUGAAAACUACCAAUGAAGAAGAGUGAUGACAUGAAAUAGCUCAUAUUAUCACCUCAACCCUGUCAGGAUCAACGUCAGCAUCCGUAAUUCCUCUUUGUUGCUCUAACAAAACUUUCUUUACAUCAUGCUCACCAACAACAUUAUCAUCUGAACCAUCUGAAGAUGAUGCAUUUUGACUAAGGAUGUUUGCAGGUGCCCAUUCCAAGUACAGUGGAGCAUCUCUACGUCACAAUAAGAGAUGUCAUUAUUAAUGUAACUAAUAUUUACCAUCUUGCAGAUUUUCUUGAAAUUAAAAGUAUCACCAUCAGGUUAAAAAGCUAAAAAAGCCAAUCUCUAAACUAGGGAGGUCAAUUAAUUGACUGAACAUGUCAUUAAAUACGUUCAAAAACCCACAAACAACAAAAGAAGCUGUCUGCAUGGCAUCUUUCAAACUUGAGGAUACAUUUUAUACUAUGAGAAGCAAGACAACAAUGAUAUUAAAGUGCAUUGGCAAAUUGGAUAGUAAUCUCACAAUUCAAGUACUCAAGUUAUUUAUGUAGAUGACUAAUGAUAGCAGUUUAUCCACAUAAAUUGGAUUUAGAUACGUGAAUUUUUGCUUCAACUAAAUCAGACACAUAUGAUAAAGCUUUCAAACAUGUACUCAUGUAACAUAAUUGUGGUUAAGCCAGCAUAAUAUUCAAAUAAAAGUGAACCAGCACAUAAAUUAAAAAAAUUCUACACUAUUUCCCACAAAGAACCUUUAACAACUGCACAAAUAUUUUGCCUAAGAAGCAUGACUACAGAAAGCACAACAAGCAAUGUAACCAUAAAAACAAGGCCAUGUACAUCAUGAAUUUCUAAAGGAGAGAAUGGGAGGAAAGUAUGACAAGCAAGAAAGAGAGCAUAUGUAUGUAGACAAGAUGCAAGAAGACAGCAGGCAAGACAUAAAGAGAAUUAUUUCAAACUCCCAGCAGAUUAUAAACAAGAGGAAACUAAAUCAGCACGCAUGGAACUUAAUUCAAAUGCAUGUCUCCUCUAGAUUACAAGUUUUUUUUUUUGCAAGAGACAAACAUCCAAAACCUUCUAUAAAACAGGGUCAGCAAAAGGGAUUUCAGGCACCUCCCAUCUUCCAACAAUAAUGCCAAAAAAAGCAAGCACUCAGAUGGUGCAUGAGACCAAGAAUUUGAAAACGACUAUCUGAACCUCAAGAACUAUUAGUUUCAUUUCUCUAUCAAAACAGCCUUGUUGGUCCUUGUAAAAGGCUAAAUCUAUAGAAAGGAACAUGGAAGAACACUGAGUUGUGGCCAGGCCAACCCUUAAAUCAAUAGAAAAAGCUCAAAGCAAGGCAUAAAAUUAGCAUAUAACUGCUUGAAAAUAUGCAAAAUAACUCAAUCAGUAUCCAAUAUGCCAAAUAACUUGGAUAGGAAAUGAAAAUUAGCUCCUUAAAAAAAGAUAAACAGGAUUGGAAGCAGCUGCUGCAAAGUAUCAUGAAUCCAUUAUCAAUCAUGCAUGGUUCCUAUGAAAUACAAGAAAAAGUCCUUAUGUUCUGCUUCUAUGAAACAAAAUCAGCAGUCUGUCUACAUAUUCUCUACCACAAUGCAGGAUGGAUUUCAAUAGUUUACAUAUUGUUAAGAGAAAUGAAGCAGCUUAAUGCAGCACUUGGGCCAUGAAUAUCAGAUUUUCCCAUGCUUCAUCGCUAGGUUAUGACCAACUCAUAACCAAAUAUUCAACAAAUUUGUUCCAUUUACUUAAUGUGUAACACUAUUACAUACACAAGUAGCAUGUAAAACCUUGCUAGCUUUGACUCCAUGACAAAUUGAGAGUUAGAAUCAGCUGAAGACUUUAGUUGGUUUCCCAAGCUUAAGAAACCACUAUCAAAGCUUCCACGCAUCAAGGACAUGAUAGAAGAGUGCCAAGCACAGAUACCAGAUCUACAGGCAAAUAACGAAUGCAGACAAUGAGUACUAAUAGUGAACGAGGGUGCAAAACAUACUUGUAACGCUUGUAAGCUAAACCCCUGAAAGCUGCACGUGCUUCAGCCGCUUCAAGGAAGACAACCUAAGUUUCGCAAUAAUAAGAUAGCAUAAGAAUCUGAAGCAUUUAAAAGAAUAACCAUAGUCUAUCCAGUUUCUUCAUCAUGAUAUUUCAAUACUCUAUAUAGCAUGAAAAGCAUUUCUAUCCCUAAAUAUCACUACACACAUUUUGCUCAACUUUUGUCCAAUGCCCACCACUGAAAGUUGUAGUAGCAUGGUUUAAAUUUUAAAUAUAAAAAUGUUGACAUUAACUGUGAGUAUGGGAGAGAGAGUAUAUAUUGUCUUUGCUCGAGCGUAAACCUGUGUAUACGGGUGUGUGAAUUUGUCCACACCUGCAUGCCACUAGCUAUUAUAUGCAAGACAGAGAGCACAAGACACAGCUCCAGUCAGAGAAAUAAUGCAAAAGAGUUUAGCGCUAUAUAUGAAGUUGAUAUCAUGAAAAGGUGUGGAAGCCAUUCACCAAUAAUAUGUAAGACAGCUCCAGUCAGAGAAAAAUCAUGCAAAAAGUUUAAUGCCAGAUAUGAAGUUGAUAUGAGUCAAAGUGAUCUAGUCAACUCAAUGUCUAACACGUGAAAAAAUGCAUGUAAAGAACAAUUCAGAAAAUGUAAAUAUUGGUGUGAUAGCUCGAGAAGCCAGAACAAAUAUGAUCUGAGCAAUAAAGCAUGAAAAAGAUACAACAUAAAGACGAAUAGGAAGUUUUCCUAUUUUAAAAGUGAAAAAAAUAAGUAAAUCCAUAAAAAAUUAAAAAACCUAAAAGAAGUGCUCUAUGUGCACCUUCAAGGUCAACUAUGUCGAAUGUUCAGUAACACAACGUAAAAUGGACAGCAUUCAUUUGUCACAUCCCAAAAGCAGGGAAAAGAAAAAUUUUCAAGCAGAGAAGAUGCAUACCAAAGCCAAGGUUUUUGACGGAGGUAGAAUUAUUUUGUCCAGGCUCCCAUAUUUCCCAAACAUGUUAGCUAGUUCACCUUCAGAUGAUCCAUAAGGCAAGUUCUUCACUAAAAUAACAUGGUUGCUUCUUUUUAUACCAUCAGUUUUUCCAGAAGCAAAAUCCUCCAAGGAAGCAACAUUGACCCCAGCAUUUGCCAAAGCCUUUUUUGUCUCCGCAAUCACUUGAGUUUCUCCCAGAGCAAUACGAACAGCCAAGUCAUCAGCUUCCUUAUCUAAAAGGUCGCUCUUACUUACGCCAAAUUUUCGAGCAAUAUUUUCCACAACCUACAAUUUAUGAAGCAAGUGAAAAAGAAUUAGAGUUUGCUCCACAUAUACAAAUUAGGAGAAGACAUGGAAAAAGAAACUAUUACAGACAAUACCAAUCCAUAGUCAAAGAUGAACAUAUUAUGAUGCCAUACAAGAUAUAGAAAUGAUUAUUACACCAAAAUAAAGCAAAUUUAAAGACACUAAGGGAAUCCUAAAACAAAACCACAGGAAAAAUUGUUUUGGAUAAAUUAAGACUAAGCAGGAAAAAUUAUCCUAACUACCGCCAGAUAAGAAAGAAUUAAGGAGAAACCAAAUUAAAAUAUAAGAACCAAAUAGCAGUAUAACCAUUAUAAGAAAGGAUAAAGUAAUAUAGGAACAUAUCAAGCAUCAAACUCUGUCCAACAAUGUACAUACAGUUGACAGAGAAAACCAAUAGCGUAACUUGUAGGGUGAGAAAUGCUCAACAGGUAUGACAUUUGAAGUUGAGACUCUAAAUGAGGAAAACCUGCAGAUGCGAAACUCUAGUAGAUAUGAGAAACAAUAUUCUUGUCCCCCAAAAAAUAAAAAAUUCUCUAGCACAUGCAUAACUAAAAUUAGUUCUAAAGAACUAAGGCAGUACUUGAGCAACCAAAGCAGCUGACUACAUCAGACAGCCAAACAACUAGAAGAUUAAAGAUGCUAUAACAUUCAGAGGAAAUCCUGAUUUAGGAAAGAGGUUAAAAACAUUGACAGCUUUACUCCGCAGCUUUACUCAGUUGAAAGGAAGACAUCAAAACUAGAGGUUGCAAUUCGUGGGCAAAGGAUGAAGUGGAGAGAGCAUGCAUUUUGCAUGGCACCAAAGGGAGUUGUACCUUUUUUUUCCUAUUGUUGCUUUCUUUGCAAUAACACAUUUUCACUAUAUAGUGUACCUAUGUGAGGAGAAAUCUAGAUUCAUUUUCAGUCCUUAAUCUAAAAACAUAAAAAUGACAUCAUUAUCGGGGGCUGCAUUUGUUCUUUUUCUCUCCUCGAGAACAAAUGCAUGCACCAAAAUCACUCAAUCAAUCAUUUGAAUUCUAUCUUCUUUUCAUCUUUUCAUUCUAAGGAACAACACGGAUAGAAGUCAUGCACAUGAGGUACAGUAUGUCCAAAAGAGUGCAUUCUUCCAAAAGCUCAACAAAAGUAUUCACAACAUAAAAUAUCAAUUAAUGCAGAAUGCGAACAUAAUGUUGAAUUAUCCAAUAAACAUGUGUUUCCUUCAAGUUUUGAACUCCAAACAUUUGCGCUUGCAAUAACAUAAUAUUAUCGCCUAAAGCUGAUCGUUGUUUUCAUAUUCUUUUUUAAGUCCUGUCAGUACUCGUCCCUCUCUCUCUUCAAUUGUGUAAUGGGUAGUGGGGUUGCAGAUGAAUAGGAUAAUGUAAUCAAUCUCCAUAAGUUCUUAAACACAGAGGCCAACAGCUAAACUAAUCAUCUUACAACUUAAAUAUUAACACUCAUUUAAAGAAAAUAACGAUAUAUACUAUUCGCUCAUUAUCAUGUUGCCCCAAUGAUAAAAUGUUACCUAGUGAUAAAGCUAUUAUUCCUCCCUGCAGUAAGACAGAAGGCCUGUUUUAAUGGUAAAGUACCAAACUACACAACAAAUUCUCCAAUCCUAUGGAAGAAUAACUACUCUUUUUGUCUUGGGAGAGAAGGAUAAAAGUCAUUGGAUGAAAGGUACACGACAUGAAUGGGCUUAAUCUGGCAUUAAACCAGAAGCAGUCUCUAUGAAGGUGUUUGCCCAGUGCUCAACGUACCAUUAUCUUGAAGCUUUAGAAGAAGAAACCAAAGGAAGACUAUAGAACAAGCAAUUGAUGUAGAAUACACCAGGUAAUUUUACUCUUGUAGUCAACAUACUCGAUGGAGCGACUUCGGGAAUUGUAAAUAAAGGUUUUCUCCUACUCUUUGUUAGGGACUGGCAAGCAGCCUUGUUGUAUGUUGGGUUGAAAAAGAAGCAAAUAGAAACGAGAAGAAUAGAAUAGAAAGCUAGGAAUCCUGAUGAUGAAAUAGAAGGUCAAGAAACUUAAACAAAAUCCUCAUCAAAUUUUAAGGGUAAACUCAAAAACAUAUGCAAAUCCUGCAGACCAUUAUAAAUUCUUUCUGAGUCAAGCUGUGAAGAUGAGUAAGAAACAUACUGUAUCAGGGCGCAUGAACAAGCUAUUCCAUGAUCGUGUAUUUCCACUAGCCUCAGAUGUCUUCCUCUCCUCCACCUUCUGUUGCUUAAAGGUUUUUGCAGACUGUUGAGUCAACACAUUGGUCCUACAACACAAGAACAGUAGAAGUGUGGCUCUUGUCAAUCAUACAGCUUCUAAACAAGUACACAGGAUACAUUAUUGAUAUUUAAACCUUCACAUCGACGUAAUUUUCCCUGUAUGCAUUUCAAAAAAGAAAAAAGAAAAGGAAGACCAACAAUCUCUGCAGAAUAGAAAAAUCUAAAAAUUUAACGGGGAAAAAAACUUACUUUUGUUUCUCAGAAGAACUGUUUUGUUUUGCCACCAUAACAUGCAGUAAUCUUCCUUGGAAAAUGGAACUAUCCAGUUCUUCUAGUGCCCUAAAGAAAUCUAGAAGUUAGCUGCUUGAAUUUUCAGAUGCACAUACGAUGAAUACAAAUUUACACGACUUUAUGCAAUAGAAUUACAAAUGACAUGCUCUCAAAAUAAAUAAAAUAUGCCAAGGAAAGACGGAAAAAAGAACCCUAACAUGCUAUAGAACUCCUUGGGAGAAGAAAAUUUCAUUGUUAAUAUAGUGACAAAAAAAAAGUGAAUGAUGCAAAAUAUGAAUCAGAUCUAGAUAUUGAAUUUGCAUCACUAAUACAUGUAAGAAAUGAUUUAUUCAAACAAAAAAUCUAGCUUAAAUCUUCAAGCACAAUCCAAUCCAAUCAAAUGAGGUAAAACUCAGAUUUCACACCUUGAUGGUGCAAAAUACUUAGCAAUUUGAAGUCUAAUGGAAACUAAUACCAGCAAAUUUUCAUAAAAAAGCAUAUUUCUGACUGUUUCUCGAUACAGUACCUAGAAGCAGAUUCUGGAAGCGCAUAUAGAACAUAAGCAAUCCCCUUGGACCGUUUCGUAUCUUUAUCCACAACAAUAUGGACUUGCAAGACAUUUCCAAAUUUUCCAAAGUGCUCUUCAAGUUCCUCUUCUCUAAAGUCAUUAUCAGAAGUCAAAAGAUAAGAAUGUCACAAAUUGGAAAGACCGUGGUUACUGCCAUUCUGGCAACUUACGUUAUUAUGGUAUGAUUUUAAGAAGAAGAAUGUUCAGUACUUACGUGGUAGUAUAUGGCAAAUUACGGACAAAUAGACGGCCACUCUCCAGAACUUCUUUUGGAUCUUCCACAGUUGAUGAUGGUCCUUCAGUCUCAAUCAGUUCGUCAACAGGUUCUUCACCAUCUCCAUCUUUGUCAUUUUCUUGUUGGACAUCUUCUUCAUCUUCAUCUUCAAUAUCCAUUUCAUCUUUGGUUUGCCUCCGAGAAUCACUGUUACCAUUUUCGAUAUCUCCUUCCUCAUAACUAUCCUCAUUUUCUCCAUCUUCACCUUCUGAAUCUGACCACUCUUUCUUUACUCGACUUCUGAAAUAAUCCAUAUCAGAUAUAACAUCAUCGUGAACUGGAUUUUGUGAUUUAUCUGCAUCUAGAGUCUCAGAUGACCUAUUUUCCUCGUCAUCACUUUCAUUUAACUUUGAUUUCUGGUCACCUUUUCUCACUUCACCCCUAGUUGGCUCAUUUCUAGACUAAAUUCACCUAUAAAUAGCCAUGAGUUGCAAGAAUCAAGAGAGCUUAGAGAAGGGGUGAAGAAACACCACAAAAUGUAGUUCUUAGAUAGUUUUUAGCUCUUUAGUUUAGGCAAUAUAGUUUUAAUUAGUUCAUCAUUUCUUGUGUAUUAACUAAAUGAAAAAGAAGUUGGAGAAUGAAAAAGGCAAGGAGAGAGCUCGUAUGACAAGGGUUACUUUACCUUCCUAACUCUUUAUCUUUUGAAAUUGAUUAUAAGUUUAGUUAAUAUGCAAAUUUUGGAUUUUAUAUUUAUUAUGUGUUUCUAAAGUUUAUACCUUAGGUUUGGUUUAACUUUUUAUGAUUGUAUUGUGUUAAUUUCUUAGCUAUUUGAUACUUUUAUUUUGAACAAGUUAUUUAGCACUUUUGCUCCUCAAAUCAUGAUUAGUUUGGUACCAUUAAUUGUGAUUAUCUAAAGGUGUUGUUUGUUCAAUGAAAAUUGAGAUUUAAUACUAGUUCAAGAAGUGCUAAACCUAAACAGUACAAUCACGAGAGUAGAGGUACAUUUUUGUGGUUUUAGUGAUUCAUUUUAUAUAAUUUCAUAGAGGUAAUUAAUUUGUAACUAAUUUCAUAACCAUGAGAGUAGGCAUGGAUUAGUUAUAAGUAUAGUUGAUUCACUACGAGAGUAGGUUUCACAUGCAUGAGAAAAUUACGCCAUAAUUAGCUAAGAUAGUAGUACUCAAUGAUCCAAAAAUAGCACUUGCAUGAGUAGUUAGGAAUACCAUAAUCCAAGAAACUUUUAUUUACUAUUUUCUUGCAUAAGUUUAGCAUAUUUUUAUUUUCUUUAAUUUGUUAGUCGUCUAAAUAAUAGAGAAAUUUUAGUAGUGACGGUAAUUGACAAUCUUCCUUGUAGGUGUACUUGUGAAAAAUCGCGUAUGAAAUAUUUAGGACGUUAUAAAUAUAAAACUUGACCGUAAAAUGAGCUAAUUGUUAUAUGUAUACCUCGCACUUAUCAACUACAAUUUUAAGAUAUAAGUUUAUGUAGUAUGUACAGCCCUAUUUUGAUUACUUCAAAAUACGACCAUUCUUCUUAAGGAUGCCUAAAAAAUUAUGAAUACUAAUCCUCUUACCCAUUUUUUUAUAUGAAAUUAUUAGACAACAUCCCUCAAAAAAUUGAACCCUUUUUUUUUGGGAAGGUUUAUUUCAAGAAUAAUUAACUCGAUUUGAUAAUUGAUGGUCAACUUCAAUUUUCAGGUUUUGCAAUUGGCUAUUCAGUUUUCAAAUUGAGCAAUAUAAAGGGUGUAAAACUAAGAGAACUUCUGUUAAAAUUCAGAACAUCACACAUUAGAGUGAUCAAUAUGUCUGCAUGAAUCUCUUUUUUUUUUUUUUUUUUGCCAAUGUAGUUCUUUACUGGGACAAGAAUACUUGUAGCUUUCACUUAUUUUCAGGAUUUUUUUUUUUCAAUAAGAAAAGAUGUACGUUUAUUGAGGAAAAAUUAUUACAAUGCCGAAAAAAACUAAACCAUAAAAAAUGCAUUCAUGAUAUAAAAAUUAGGCGCUUUUGCAUAAUACAAGCAUAAUUACAUCAAAAGAUAUUUAAAACACGUAUGAAAAAAAGUAGUAUCUGAUUCCAAUUAUAUCAAGUCAUUUUUUCUUUUUCUCUCUUUGCUGCUGCAAAUUGGCUUUUAUCCUCCUAAUCGUAUUCAAAAGAAUUUUGUCAUAUACUGCAUCCAAAGCUCUUCGCCAGAACUGACAGCUGCAAGAAAUGCCAGUAGUGUAACAAUGGCUUGUCUUCUGUUUUCAAUUAGUCAAAAAGGGUUUCAGUUCUUUCAUCUGUGAAAACUAAUAUAUUGCCUCAAUGGUUUCCUCCAGCUUCUUCUUGACAACUGGCCGCCCAACUCUUGUUGUAUUAGGUCCCUUAAGAAACUCCAUCGCUUGCUCUAAGGUAACAUCUUCAGACUUAAUGUUCUGUCCACAAUAUUCAGAGGAUUAAGCAUUAUAGCAGACUGCAUUGUGUAUUUGGAAAAAACCAAGAAAAGAGGUCAAAGUUAUACUACAGUUACAGUUCAAAAUAAGGAAACACACCAGACAAGAAGGGUAAGCUACUUUUCGAUUCAUUUUUCGAGCCCAUGUCUACUUCAUGAUUUACUACUUCACCAUUUCCCAAUUUCUUAUGUGUACUCUUUGUGUUCUAGAUGCGACAUCCAUGGUACCGUUAAAAAGAAAAGAAAAGGAUAUACUACAAUGUGACAUAAAUUUGUGCAUGCAUCAGAAUAUCUGUUGAAGGGCAACAUCUUCAACCAACAAGGCAAUAAUGUUUUUAAACUGUUUCUGUUGUCAAAAUGAGUUAAAAGUUUCCAGUACUGGGCUCUGCACACCAGAAGCAGUAAAUUAUCCCUAGCUUGAACAUCCUAUGACAGCCAUUAUAACCAUUGUAAAAAUUAAACGCAAUACUCUAAAUCGCAUAUAGACAUAAAUGGUACAGCUGCAGGCCGGUGAGAGACUUAACUAGAAAACAUACCUUGGGAACAGGAGCGAAUGUCCUCCCAUGUCUAAUGACAAAACUUUUCUUCUUUCCAGGAAAUAAAGUCACAGGCCGGCCGUCAUCUGGAUGUUUCCCCUAAUAUAUCAGACAAGCAACUUAGAUGAGUUGACCAGCAAAUACUUAAGCACCAUUUUGAGUUUUCCUUUUUUUGUGUGUUGGGCCUGGGGGUGAUUUUUUUUGGGGGGGGGGGGGGGGGUUGGGGAGUGGCUGGACAAAGAACAACAGUACAAUCUGCUAACAGACACACCAAGGUCACUGGAUAGCGCAGCAACUCAAGAGCGACUUCCAAGGUAACGCAAUCCAAAUCUUUUACCUGGAAAGGAAAAGGAAAUCCAGUAAACCUUCCCAUUCAUGAUUUGAUGUGUAAAAGUCAGAAUUUUGAAAAAUAAGAACUGAAUUUCUGAUCCCUGUAGAAGGAAAGGACGAUAGAUACUCACGAUCCGUAACUUUUAAAUUAAGUGUUCAAAUCAAAAUAAACCAGUUUAAAUGUUCCAAGAAAGAAAGCAACUAAAAAUGCUUUUCAACAUGGGACAACCUCAAUCAACAAGAAGACUUUAAGCCAAUUGUUGACAUCAAGUCACAGGUUUAACGUAGUAGAUGUCACAGAUGAAUAAAUGACAAAAUAGUCCAAGAUAUGGUAAAGUGACAUAGUUGCGCAACAACAAAAAGGAAUAAGGAAGCAUAACACUGCAGUGUUAAAAUAGGCUCCAUGACAGUAAAACAAUGUAAUAUGCGACUCCCAUCCAUGAACCAAACACAUGCAACCCAUGUUCUUAAAUGGCAUUGACCCCUAAAAGGAAGUAUCCAAAUGACCAUAUUGCUUACCAAAACCAUAACUGUCCAUAUUAACAAUUAUCAAACAUGAUGUGAUAUUACUUGAGCCAGAUCUAAAGUCAUAUUCCAAUUUUCUGGUAAGUCAUAAGUUAAAUUGACUAGACCAAGAGGCACAAUCUGUGCACCGAAAAUGUGCACAAAAUAAAAGUUCUAGGGGCCUCAAUAAGUCAACCAUUAGAAGACGAGACAUCCACCCCCAAGCUUUCAACAAAAUUUUGUAGUGAACUCACAAUGAAAAGUUUGACUUUACCAGCUAAAUGACCAAAAAUUCUGUUAACACAUUUAUUUUCCUUUAUGUUCAAAAUGGAACUAUUACACUUGCACCAAAUUUUUCUUGCCAAAGAGUUAAAUAAACUACAAGGAAGAUGUAUCAGAAUACUGGAGUUCAUCGAUGCAAUUAUUCAAAGAUACCAAAAGUUGGCAGAAUUAAGAGAAAAAAGAAUUACAAGAUUCUGUAUAAACAAAAGUUAUACAUCACUCUUUCAGGCACAGAAGCAGUAUUAAAAAGGUAUUGGAGAACAAAACCAUGUUCACAUAACAGUUGAAAAUGCUGGCGAACCAAAAAUAGUUAAAUACUGGACAGUGCUGCAGACUCUAGCGUGCAACGUAAACAAGUUGGACAAAUUAAUAUAAUUCCACAAGAAACUUCAUGGUAUAUGGUGGUAAUAUUUCCCUUAGAAUUAAAUUUCUCUGUAAAUAGAUGUUAAAUCCUAAAUAACAAGAAUGCAGAUUCUACUCUUAAAAAAUCAAUUCUUCAGUGUAGAAGAUUUUUUUUUUUGGGAUUUUUUUUUGGGGGGGGGGGGGGGGGUCGCUUCGUGGUUGGGGAGCUCUUUAUGUAAGCCACUAACUGUUUUACUUACUUUGUUCAGGGAAGCUCGUUUAGGCAAGAAACCUUCCCUGUCUUCACCAAGCUGAACAUAGUUUCCAUACGGACCACUCUUCAGAAGAACCUAAACACAACCAUUAAUGUAUGUAUGUAAACAAAAAUAAUCUACACAACAUAUAUAUCAUUUGGUAACCCAGUAAGUAGAAAAUUUUAGCCAAACCUUCUCAUUGGUACCAGGAUUUAGGCCCAGCAACUUUGGCUCCUCCAUAUUUUUUUUGUUAUUGUUGUCACUAGGGAUCUCUUCAUUGUCUUCGCGACAUAAUGUCUUGGCAAUAUACCUGCAGAACAGCUCAUAAUUUCAGAUGUAAGCUCAAUCACAAACCAAUGGCUAUCAACAAGCAGGGACCAUUAACAGAAGUCUAAUAAAUAUAAUUUGAUGACAUUUGCAGCCAGACAGUUACCAGAGAAUGACAAAGAACAGUCUAGUUACCUGCCCAGAAUAACAGUCUAGUUACCUGCCCAGAAUUGACUGGGAAAACAAAAAUCAUAAAUUAGCAAACAUAAAGAAAGAAAAAAGUGUAAGAACUCCACUUAGUUGGAUUAGCCUCAUGUUGAAUAUUGUUUUCAUCUUUCGAUUUCAUUCAGCCCUAAGAAAGUUAAAAGAAUGUAUGAUGCAGGAAAAAAGUUGUACAUCUACACAAUGAUUGAAUAAGGAAAAGAAUCUAUCAGACAUAUAGAUGAAGUAACAGCCUGAUCUGUUCCUGUUUCUUUCCCCUUCCAACACUCCUCAAUCAAGAUAAUUUAUCAGGUCUAGUACUGAGACUCCAAAGAGAUAAAAAAUGCCAUAUCCCACCAACACCUAUCCAUCUUAAAGUUACAACUAGUAAGUAUCCUCCCUCAGUUCUUCAAACAGAAAAUGAAUACUGAUAUAGUUUUCGCUUGUUUUCCUCAAGUUCAGCUGUUAACAUAGUAAGGGACCAAAUCUAUUUACUCUAGAUUACUUUCCAAUGAAAAGAAUCUUUUCUGGUUGUGAACAGACUAUGAAAGAAUACAACUGUAAGUUUCCAAAUUCAUUAACGUUCAAUUUCAGGCAAUCCUUCACCAGCACUUCAAAAGUAAGCAGACAAAAUUCUGAAUUAAAAUUGAGAGAUCAUUUUCAUUCGUUUAGAGAUCUUCCAAAAAGGAGAUUGAAAGAACUGCUGCAGUAUAUCACUCUCUAGAUAUCUUCUGGACUCUUAAGAGUGAUAAAGCAAUAAUUGAUUUGAUGGUGGACUGAAGCCCAAGAUCGUUCAAUUAUCUAUCAGUAAAAGUGAUGGUAAGGAUUUUCUAGUAAUGCUACUUCACAAAAGUAGGAGCGGAUGUUUUGAACUGUUUAAUAACAAAGAUUACUACAGGAUAGUGAGAUCAAAAUGACUAGCUUAGAUGUGAGGCGCACAGCCAGCAAGAGAGAAAAAAGAUGAGGAAGAAACAUUCAUCAAGUCUACAAGAAGAUAAAACAAAACAAAAUCUACAGGAAAUAUAAAAAAUAUAUUAAAAUAUAAAGGAACAUAUUUGAGAGGCAAGCUUUGCUUCAUUUUUUUUUAAAUAAAGAAAUGUAUCAUAAUUACUUCCAAAGCAGGACAAGAUUCAAAGGUUAAGUCAACUGCAUCAUCCAAGCCACUGUGUCUAGUGUUACCCGGAAUUAGUUUGCUUCAUCAUCAUCAAGACAUAGAUUCCUCAUUCAAAGCCUUAUCUCUAUAGCAAAUAUCCCACCAAAACUUAAUCUAGAACUAGCUUUUAUAAAAUGGGCCAUGAACUUUGAAGAAGAUUACAAGGAACUGCAUUUUACUUCUCUCCACAGUUGCCCCGGUCAAUGCCUUUUUUCCCUAUCGUAUGCCACUCAACAAAGCAUCUUAUUUUACUUCCAUAACCAUUUCAACUUCAAUGCAUGAUAUGCAAGUCUUGGCAUCUUCGAUUCCGCUCCAAAAAUUUCAGAUCAUUGACUGAUACCAUUUCUUGAUUAUACAUGACUUUUUGUCAGCACUGAGAUUUUAAAUUCUUAAGGCAGAUUUUCAAGGAGGACUAAAGCUCAUAAAACUUCACCACACCUUCCUUUGAGUCACAGGGCUCAAACAUGUCGCAUCUUUUCUGAAAUAAUAUUGAAUCUUUUGUGCACAUGAGAGCCCAAGCUCAUUCACGGCACUAAUGGUGUCUCAAGAUGGAACUCUAAACACAUUGAUGUUCUUGCAUAUAUAGCAAAGAUCCUAGAGAAAAACUAGGUUUUCAAAGCAGUAGACAAUUCAUCCUUAAAAUUAGGCUAGAACCUAAACGGCCACUAAACUAGUCUCAUUGAUUAACCUUGCACAAUAAACUUGUAGUUGCAUUCAUACAUAACUCACAAUUACCAUUAAGAUAGACAGAAUCACGAACGAGUAUGAUAUUAGAUAUUGUUUUUAAGGAUAUCUAUGUCAUCAAAACAUGUAAAAGUAAAGCAAAAGACAUAUCAAUGUAAAAUUGCGCCUUAUCACCAGCCAGACUGUCCCAGAACCCCAACCACCUGAGGGUGAGCCCCUUUUCCACUCAUUACAGCCUAAAUACCUCUCUGCAACUACUCACAAAAAGAGAAAGAAAACAAGAGAAAUUUAAGCUCUCCUCUUCCAGGACUGAAGAGCCCCCCACCAACCAAGCCAUAUGCUGUGCUGAUAUAUUCGAUACUCUUUCCAUUCAGCUUUAUCUCUUUUAGAACUGGACCAAGUUAAAAAAUUGUGCCAAGAAACCAUCUGGUCUUGUUCUUAACUUUUGGUCACAGAAUACUAUAUAAGCAUUAUCCCCUCAAGCUCUGACAGAAAUACUUCCUUUUUUGUCAAAUUUAUCUUUGUGUGUGUAUGUAGAGAGAGAGAGAGAGAGUCUAAUAGAAGAAAUCUCACUCUUCUUCUCCUAUAAACUUUAUGAUUUUGCUUAAAAUUGUUAAAAAGCAUUCACAAAAUGAUGUGCAGGCUCAUUUCGUUGGACAGUGGUUCUCUUUCAAAUUGGUUUCCAAAAGUCCCAUCUACAGCAACACCAUACCGGUGUCGACAAGUUCAAUCUAUGAUGUCUAAAAAUUAAAAGAUAUGGAGAAUUGAAAGAGAAGAUUGAAUUUUAUUUGGUCAAACAUAUGAUCAAGUGCUAUGUCAAUACAGGGACUUCAACCAGCAGAUUGACCAGCACAGUGGCAAAUUUCCAUUCUUCUGGUGAUCAAGUAUCCAGUAUAUAAAAUGAUGUUAAAUCCAGUCUUAGAAGCAUACAACCUAUCAAAAGUCAUUUAUAUAAGAUUAAUAGGUUUUUACUGCAUUGCGUACCCCAGGGAUGGUAUUUAAAGAAAAAGAAGAAAAGAAAGUUGGAUCACUUAUUCAUUUCUUGACCUGAUUACUACUUAAUCAAAACUCUCAUUCUUUCAGAGCAUCCGAUGCUCACAUACUUGCACAGACUGUACCAAAUAACCAUGGACAUAACACAUUGACGUGUAACGAACACUUUUAUCACAUAGGAAAUUGUAGUCAAACAGUGGAGACAGCACAAGACAGUGAAAGUACAGACUGAAAAAGCAUCCACAAAGAAUGUAGCUAGCAUUAGAAAAUAAAUAUGAUAAGCAGCAUACUCACUUGCAUCUUGGAUGCUGAUCACAACCUAUAAAGUAGCCUGCCCCAAAUCUGCUGACCUUGAAGAUUAGAUUUCCCUCCAAACAACUAGGGCAUCUCCUACUUCCAUCUGGGAGAGAAGCAAACAAAAAAUCUGAAAAUUCCUUCUCCAGCAUCUUCUCCACCUGAUGAAUAUGGACAUUAAUAGCAUGUGUACAAUACUUGCUAAACCUUGUCCAAUAAUCUUUUAGAAGGCCUUUCCAUUCAGUCAAUCCAGCUGAAACAUUAUCAAGUUCAGUCUCCAUGUCAGCAGUGAAACUGUAAUCUGUGACCUCAGAAAAAUAAUGGGAAAGAAAAGCAGACACCAUCCGCCCUCGAAAUUCUGGAUGCAUAACCCUGCUUUUUACUGUUACGUAAUUUCUAUCUUUCAACACCUUAAUCGUUAUUGCAUAAGUAGAAGGUCUUCCAAUGCCAAGCUCUUCCAUCUUUUUUAUCAAUGCCCCCUCAGAGUAGCGUGGUGGUGGUUGUGUAUAGUGUUGCUCAAGUUCUGCCUUACCCAAAUUCAAAGAAUCCCCAGAUUUCAAAGUACUCAGAACCUUGAAAAGCUCACCACGAUUAUUUACUUCAUUCUCAUUCAAACUUACUGUAUUGGAUUCCACAUCCUCAAACACAGUUUGGUAGCCUAGAAAUUCAACUCUUGAGCACGAAGAUCUAAGCAUAAUGGAUCGAUCAGUAUUCGCAACAUCAAGUUGUACCUGAUCAAUAAUAGCAGGUUCCAUUUGGCUGGCAAUGGUUCUAGACCAAAUAAGUUUGUAUAACUUCACAGAAUCAUCAUCCAGGACCCCAGCAAGCACUGAAGGUAGCCUCCUGAUAUUAGUUGGUCUAAUAGCUUCAUGGGCCUCUUGAGCAUUCUUCACCUUCUUAAAAUAUUUGCGAGCACUUUUUGAUGCAAAAUUUUGUCCAUACCUUUCUGUUACAAACGACUGAAGGUCUUUUACAGCAUCAUCAGAAAUGUGUGAUCCAUCUGUCCUCGUGUAAGUGAUCAAUCCUACUGCUUCACCAUCAGCUAACUGCACCCCCUCAUACAGCUUUUGUGCAAGUUUCAUAGUAUAUGAAGCAGAAAAAUUUAAUUUGUUUGCUGCUUCUUGCUGAAGUGUGGAAGUUAUGUACGGGCUGGGAGCAUUUCUUUGACUUUUGCUUUCCUUACAGGCAAUAACUUCAAACUUGGAUGAGUUAAUCUUCUGUUCAAUAUCCCUUGCCUCAGUGUAAGAACCAAUAGAUACCUUGCUUAACUUUUUGCCACUAAAGUGGGUUAAAUUUGAGGAGAAGCUGAGAGUAUCUGUUGAACUUGUGUCCUUCUUGUUGAACUCAACCUCAAUUGUCCAGUACUCCUGUGGCUUAAAUUUGUCAAUUUCUGUUUCCCUGUCACAUAUAAGAGACAAGGCAGCUGACUGAACCCGACCAGCUGACUGGCAACUAGGCAAUUUCCUCCAAAGCAAUGGUGAAAUGUUGAACCCAAUCAAGUAGUCCAAUGCACGACGUGCAAGAUAAGCAUGUACCAAACUUACAUCAAUCUCUCUUGGAGCUUGAAGGGCAUUUUUGAUGGACGACUCUGUUAUUUCAUUAAAAACAACCCUUGCCACAGUGAUAUCAUUGCGUAAGGUAUCUUGUUGCUGCAACAUCUCAAUUAUGUGCCAAGCUAUAGCCUCUCCUUCACGAUCAGGAUCCGAUGCAAGAAUAAGAUUUUUGGCUCUGAAAGGGAAAAAAUGCACAUAUGAGAAUGCAAGUAAAGAUGGUGAACAAGCCAAACCUAAAUGGUAAUUUCUUGUGACCAAACUGAAACAUAUUAUCAAAUCUUGUCAUAGCAAGUAUAGAAUUCAACUGCCAGUCAAAAACAAGUAUUCAAAAGAAAGACAUCAUACCCACUUAGUGCAACCUUGAUACUCUUAAGAUGAGUCCAGGCCGGCGAUGGAACCUCCCAUACCAUACUGAAGUUAUCAUCUGGUCUAACAGAUCCUGACCUUGCAGCCAAGUCCCUAACAUGACCGUAACUUGGUAGGACUUCAAACAUGUCACCCAGGUACCCUUGAAUAACCUUUGCCUUCGUGACAGACUCCACCACCACAACUGAUUUAGCAACAGGUGGAUAUAAUUGAGGAAAUUUGCCCCGCAAACUACUUUUGCCACUCAUCUGUGAUUUGUGGCUCUGUGAUACCUCGCUGCUACAAGAAUCAGCGGGUGAUUCAUCAGAUUUUGAAAGGGCAGCAACCCCUUUAUCAGUCUUUUUCUUCCUAGAUGACUUAAUAGGCUUAGGUUUGGAAUCCUUGGUCAAGACAUCAUUUUCAAGUAUUUCUGUAGAAGUACUUUGAGUUGUAUUAAUCUGCAAAACUGCAUGGUCAGAACAAUUUGCAGUUAAGAAGAACCGUUAUUGGCUAAAUAACAAAGAUUACUUACCUGAGAAGCUACAGGAGAUUGGUUUUUUUUCUUAGGUUUAGGCUUCUUGGCUUGAGAAACUUUUUCAGGGUCUUUAAGAUGGUUUGCCUCGUCACAAGCAGCAGUAUUAUCAGAACCAUGAUUUUUGCUUUUCUUGCUCCUUGCCUGCUUCACUUUGCUAACACCAUUGGAAUUACGACUUCCACUGGUAUCAGAAGAAUGUGAAGUGUCCAACUCCACAUCCUUCAUCUUGUCCAUGGGAAUGCCAUCUUUUGAACUGACCGUAUCAGGGGCUUUAGUAUCAGAUGCUUUAUAACUAGAAUUGCCUCUUCCAGGUCCAAUAUUGGAGAUCGCAUUCCUCCUAUGAGCAGAAAAUGCCUUUUUCCUUUUCCAGUACUUGUUGUAUACUUUUAAGGUUGAAUUGCUACCACUUCCACCACCUUGCAUACCCACUGCAUCAUUUUUAUGUGUUAAGGCUCCAGAGACCUCGGAAAAAGACCUCUUGCCAGUGACAAAUGCAUAGCACUGACUUUCAAAACCAACUAUUGACCUAUAACUUAUUACAUUCAUCUGUAUUGCACCACUUAAUGAUGCUACUCUCAUAUUGGGCUGUUGAAUUGAGGCAGAGAACGGCGAAAGCCCAUAAGAAUGGCUUUUGAGAGCACAGGAUUUUCGCUCAGACUUAAUCCUUAGAACUUUGGGUUGAUAUCUUGUGAAUGCAGAGCACACCCUAAGUUUUUGGGGUAACUGGGCAAAUUGAUCAGCACCUUUGAAUGGUGAACCUAGGAAGCAUGUCCCUGAGAUAUUAUGCAAAGUCCUAUUCUGCAACUUUUAGCACAAAAACACAAUUAUGAUUUUGCAGUAACUGAAGAUACAAAGGAGGAUAAGGAAGCUCACAUUGGAAUUAAUCUAAAAUAACUUCUUUCUAUGAUCAAAUUACUCAAAGCUUAUUAAUUUAAGGUCAAACUUUGAGACUGAACAAUACUCAUACAGGAAAGAAAAAAAAAGUCAAAGAAAUAUUAGUCCAGGAAAUGGAUUAGAUUAUUAGUAAAAUUAUGAAGAACAUAGCCCAGGCCCAGUAUCAACACAUUUGCACUAAUUUCAAAAAAAAAAAAUCAAACAUAACAUCGCAACCAUUUCAAGGAUAACAUAUUACUGAUAUUAGUCAUUCGUGCUAGAUAAGGUUUAUGAGAGUGCUGGAACAAGAAAAUCUACAAAGUUUUCACGUGUUCUAUCAGCUAUAUAUAAGCAAAUCCAAAUUACACAGUAAUGCAACUCAAUGGCACCAAAGAUGACAGGCAGUAAUGCUUAACAUCUAGCACUUAACUCGUUCAACUACUGAAAACCUCAUUCCUGCAUUCUUUUUGCAGCAACAAAAAUCAGUUUUCCUUCCAAAAACUUUCUUCCUUUCCAUCAUGUUCCUCAAUUUCCCUAUUAACCCUCAAGGUUCUCCAGUUAUCUUUGGUCAUCGAUUCAAUUCAUUUCUUGUGAAAUAAGAGAAAAAUAAGGGAAAAAAAGAAGAAGCAAAACUCCUCUUUCUGAUAAAUUAUAUGCAUCAAAGUUAAGAACUUUCAUAUGCACAACUUGAAAAUGAGAGACACAAGCCCAAGUGAUGGCAUAUGUUUGCAAAUUCAGUCCUCCAAUUGUUUGACAACGAGUUCUGAGAAAACAAAUAAAAUUUAUUUCUCGUUUGAUCAUUCCCUUCUCGCCGCAUCCCUAAGUUCUGCAUUCCAGACAAAGCCCACCUAGUUUAACACAUAUAGAAAAGUAGCACCAUGAAGAACUACAAACCAUAACAGCAUUUCGGUUAUUCAACCCAUUAAACAAACCAAUUGGAUAAGUCCCAAAAGAAAAAGAUGAAAAAUAAAAAUCCUUCCUACCAGCACUUUCAACAAUUUAGAAUUGAACCCAUUAACAUUCUACCAGCAAAGUUGGAAAAGAAAUAAUAAAGGGCUUCAAACGAAAACAAAAAUGGGGUUGGCUUUUGGUACCAUAAUGGAGCGGCAGCUAGAAGUAGCAGUUGAAAAGAGUAGUUGAACCAGAGCCAUAAAAGAAGGCGAUUUAUUAUUGGUCGUUAAUACAAGGCAAUGCCCAAGAACAGCCAAUUAUAUUCUUGAAUUCUUUAUUUAGAUGAAAUUGAUAAUGCUACAUCUGUUUUGUGGGAGUGUGACCGCCGGCGGGGGUGGCGGUGUGUGACUGUGUGUGAAUGUUGUUCAGUUGGGAAGAGAGAUGGAUAGAAGAGAAGAAAGGGUUUUAGGCCUUUGUGUCCCCCCUUUGAGGGAAGUGCUGGAAGGGUUUUAGAUUUCAGAAAAGGUUGAGGGGCCACGGCGUCGUUUUUUUUUUCUUUUUUUCUUUUUAUUAAGUCAAAUGAAAUUAUAAGAAUAUAAUAAAAUUAGGAAAAUAUUAUUUGCACUUCAUGUUUUAUUAUUCACACUCCCGUCAUUUGUUUUAUCAUAUUAUUCUAAUAAAUGAAAAUUAUAUAAUAAAAUGAUAGUGAGAGUAUGGGUAAUAAAAAUAUGAGUGUAAAUAACAUUUCUCUAAAAUUAUCUUAAAGAAUAUAUAAAAUUUUAUGAAGGUGUAGUAUAAUUAUUUUUAGUAAGAUAAAUUACUUCGAAAUUAAAACUUAACUUCAUAACUUCUUUUCCUUAAAUUAAUUGAGCGCAUAAUUUUGAAUAUUUGUCUUUUUACUAUUUAUAUAUUUUUUGCUCAAUAAACUUUGAAUUUACAAUAAAAUCUUUAAUCCAUGAUAAUAGAUAUGUCAUUAUAAUUUGAAAAUUAAAAUUUUUAAAAUUAUAUUUUUAUUAUCAUCUUCAAAAAAAACGAUAUUCCGUUUUAGACUUUUUUUUUCUUCUUGAAAUUUAACAUGCUAAGACAGUAAUCCAAAAUUCUUGACUUGAGAUAUGAGGACUAAAAUGACAGUUUGUGCCUUUUUUCUUCAACUAUGGGUAACAAUUUUAGAAAAUAUUGUUUUAAUAUCAGAAUAUGGUAGCUAUAGCAAUUUCUUUUUUUUUUUUUUUAAAUAUAGGAGUUAUUUUUAUUUAGAAAAUUACCCUGAACAAGCACAAGAAAUAGAAUAGAAGUAGAACAAACGACGAACAGCAGAAGGAAAAAUACGUAAACCACCCUUGCCCUCCUUUGGCCUGCCCUCAGUCUCCGGCCGCCACCACCAUCAUCCUCUCUUGCUGCUGUCUCUCCGAUCGUCACGGUUUUACCAUAUCCCAUCCCUCUAUUUUCACUAGAAGAAGGAAAUCAUAGGAUAAAAAUGGAAGCUUUUCUGCAGAUUAUCUGAGGAAGCAGUUGAAGCAUUUGAUUCUUUACUUGGUUUUUAGUUAGUGGACUGAAGCUCCUAUCCAAGAAAACCCAAACCAUAGAAAAGGUAAAAUUUUUCAACUGCCCAUUAACGGUUUUUAGCUCUGGAUUACUCACUGUUCAGUUCAAGGUCAAAACAUUUCAGUUCUUGUUUGGUUUAUUAGAUUUUUUACCGUUUGUUUUUUCCUCAAAUAUGCAUUUCCCUGAAUUUAGCUUUCCACUUUAGUGUAUUCUUAUAUAGCGUGUAUACUUAGGUUGAGUUAAUGAUGAUUUCCCCAUCCGAGUUUAUAUAUGUCAUGAAUGUUUCAUUUGUGGGCUGCUCCCCUGGAGAAUGCUUCCAAUAAUGGGGAAAUUUCUAAAUGUUCAAUCUGCGUUUGCUGAAAGGUAGGACGGAAGGAUAUAUAAGGGAGUAAGAUUGGCACAUAGCUGAAUUAGCCACUUAAGAUGGACUCCUAGUAAUAACCAUUUACUUUAAAUUUCAGCUUGUAUUAGCUACAAGGAAAUGAGCUUCGGGAGCUUGAAGAGCGUACUGGCUGAAGCAGCCAUCAAAGGUGUGACUGAGGCAAGAGCUAGAAUAUUUGGGCAUAUACUUAACCCAACCGGGCAGAGAUCGGCUCACAAGAUUUUGCGCAAGAAGCUAAUUGGUGAGAAGGUUUCGCAAUGGUACCCUCACGACAUCAGGCACGACGACCCUCUUGUCAUGGCCCGACAGGAGCAAGAGUAAGCUCUCUUUGUCUGACCCUCUUGUCUUGUUGUCAAAGAGUUUUUCUAUGGCCAUGUUAUGCUUACAGAUGUGUGUUUGCUUAUUGACUGUUUGAUUGUAUGCUUGAUUCUUACGUUCUUCCUUGUGUUUGUGUCUUUCCUGGUUUUUUUUCCUGUUCAAAAAGUUUGGUUUGCACAAUGGGAAUGAAAUUUUUUGAGAAUUUUUGUCUUUUUUUUUUCUAUGCGAACAAAUUUUGCAUGACAAGAGAGCAAAUUUUGAAAUUGUAUGCGUGACAUGAGAAAGAUUUGAUUGUUGCAUGGUCCCAAAUCUGGGAUAUGUUAUGGUGGUUCUUGCCAGCAAGAAGUAAAAAUGGUUCAUAUCCUGCUAGGGGAAGGUUGUGAGAUGAGAUGAAUAUAUUCCAGAUAAUUGCUUUAACUUCAUAUAUUUGUAUGCUUCCUUGUCCUGCUGAAAUCUCAAUUUUCCCUUCUUAAUGAGGGAAGACUCUGAAUUUGAAUGGUUUCUAAAUUUACCUUUACUGUGUUGAUAUAAUGAGAAAGGUUUAAUAUCUGUCUUGCUGAUCAAACAAAUUUGUCUUCUGUUCUAUACCUUUCCUUCAAGAAUGCUGCUAAGAGUUGUAUCUAGAUUUGCUGGAGUUUUUUAAGGUUUGAGAAGUGUCUGUAAGUCAUGAUAUCGCUGAAAAAUGAAAUGAAAAUGACUCGUAAAUCUGAAUAAUGAGGUUAUGUUGAAACAUUGUCCCACGAUAAUGUGGAGAGGUUCUCUAUGGAAAGAUAAGAUAACAAUCGAGCAUGUUGAUGAGGCAAAGAUGUACUUUUGAAAUUGUUUGUGCAUAUUACGUGAGCACUACUAUGAUAGAAUUUCAUACAAUUGAUUCUGUUGAUAUGUUUUUGUAGUCCUCUCAUAUUCGAACAAUUGUUUUGAGGAGGCAUCUCUCAACAUACAGCAAAGCAGGUUUUCAUAAACAUGCUCAAUGAAUACAGUGAAAACUUCCAAACUUUUAAUGAUGGUAUAGAUGAAUUCCUGUUUUUGAUAAACGAUUCAGGUGGUUUUUUGGAGUAAGCUAAGAAAUACAAACUUAGGACAAGAAUGAGUUAACAAAGUUUGAAUGAGGAGAUGUACUUUUCUUUUCUUUUUUGUGUAAACCAGUGUCCAGUGACCGCAUUGGGCCCUGACUAAUCUGGAGUCGAGCAAUAAUGAAUGACUGUAAUGAAUGAUUGAACUCGGCUACAUUUUGGCUCCGUACGGAUUGGAACUUUUUUUCAAAAGCCGUUUUUGUUUGUGGAGUCUACAGUACCAAGUCCUUGUUACUUCUGCUUCUAACAUUGAAUGAUUAUAAUAAAUGAUUGGGCAAUAAUGAUGUUUUAGCAUACGAGUUAUUCUGUGUGAAAGUAAUGUGAUGUUUCUUGUGCCUUUUACCUUAAAUAGGAUUAUGUGUUGAUCUAGCUAAAUGGCGAAGAUUAUGUGUUUCAUAUACCAUGUGGGAUGUAACCGAAUGUUCUUGCUCCUAGUGCAUGGGAUUCAGUGGAUUGGGUUCAUAGAUCUUCACUGCAUGAUCCAUCACGUGAUCUUAUCUUCUUUAGCUUUUUCCUCAUAUUUACUUUCUUAAGACACAGUUGAAGAAUCUACCUUAUGGCCAACCCCAGAGAAAUAUGAAACCGCCCCAUCUUUUCCAUUUAAAUUUGUCCUGUGCAUCAGCAUCAGUUGUUUACCAUCCCUCUUCCUUGUAAUGCUGACACACACAAUGGAGACAAUUGGGCAUUGAUGUCUUCACCAAACCUAUAUUUACUUACUACAUCUUCUUGCUUCUUUGGACCUUCUUGUUGGAAGCUGUACUUACUACAGAUACUUGCUUCUUUGGAGCUUUGUCUCCUUUCAUUAAUCUUGUUUGGAAUCUUACUUAACCAUUGCCUCCUUUCACUUAUCCUGGAUGUAGUGGUGAAGUAUGCCAUACCUCCUGUUUGAGCUAUGUAGUUAAUGGGUUGAUACUGGUCUAAUGGCAUGGUUAUGUUUGUAUAUUUGGCAGGCGCCUGGAGAAGCUUGAGAUGUUAAAACGUCGUGGAAAAGGACCACCGAAGAAGGGUCAAGGAAAGAAAGCUGCAAAGCGCAACAAAGUCAGCACCCCUGGGAAAUAGUGACUUUGUCUUGGAGUUGAAUGUGUUCCAAGGAAAAUUUAGACUAAUUGCAUUGGAAAAAUGGGUACCUAUUGAUGGUUGUCCAGUCAUAUUCUGAGCUACUAUGUUGAUAUUGCCACAAGUUUUUUUGGGCUGACUUCAAUGACAAUGGGUACGAUCUUCAGGAUAUUGUAGAAUUAUCUUUUUUGGUCUAUAGUUCCAUUCUCUUCAUUUUUCUUUCCUCGUCCUCCUGUAGUAAACUAUGAUGCUCGUAUGGCAGCAUUGCUGGGUCUCUGUUCUGUAGUACAGACUAACUUGUAUCUAAUUUUAACGCUGCUAGGCCUCUGGCCUGGUAGUCACCACCAUGCGGGAGAACCCUUGACCUUCCACCAAAAUUUGCCACAAUAUGUGGCGGUUUUAAUUGGUUUCCUUCAAUCGAGUCUAUAUUCAGAUUGAAUCCCCCUCCCCUUGCCCCGUAGAUUAUGCUAGAUUAGGUUAUAGGAAUUCUAUCGUUGUGAAAAAAAAAAAAAAUUAUCUAAUUUUAAUGCCUUUUUCCUUUAUCUGUUUUGGUUUUGUUUUAAUGGCUGAAAUCGGCCCAAUCUAGCUCGGGCAGAAGCCGACCGUGAUUUGAGUUGAAAUUCAAGUCAAUGGCUGAGAUCAGCUUUAGGUCUGCUGGGCUGAUCUCGGCCGUUAAAAGACCUCUGCAGUUGCACCUACUACCACAGAGUAUCCGCUUACCAGUGCACCUCUCCUCCCCUGAGAAGGUGUAUUGUGAAAUAUCGUGUAGUGACGUUACAUUUUCUCUACACUUAAAUUUUGUGUUGAGAGUCUUAACAACAAAACAUUAAAUGAAAACGAGUUUUCAGAUGGAAUCUAGCCACCCUCACGCAGAUGACUCCCAAGGUAUUUCUGAGAACAUUUUCUUCCUACUCCAUAACCCUCUAUAUGCUCCACAAAAAUGGUUGUCCUUUGAACUAUCAGUUUUGCUAAGUCAUAUUUACCUCCUAUUUUCCAUGCACUCAUGCAACAAAAGUGUGUCAUCUGGCUCUGGACUUGGACCAAUCCUCACUCUCCCCUUUUAGCAGCAACAUCAUCCAUCAUUAGACAGACUUAGUCGAUGAAAUAAGCAUUGUUGUUUAAUUUGUUAGUUAAUCAAGUUUUGCAGUUCUAAUCUGCUUGGUUUGUGGAGAAACUUGGUAUUAAUGUUCCAGUGACAAUUUACUGCCUAAAGACUUUAUGAAAAGUUGGUAUUAAAGAUGAGAAUUUAAUCAACUACUGUAUUAAGAAAGUGAGGAAGUUAAGCAAACUACUCAAUAUAUCCAGGGUUAAGUAGAAUGUGGUCAUAUGAAUCUGACAGGAGGACACAGCUGGAAUACACUAUUAAGAACUUACAAGCUUUUGAUCGUAUAACAUUUCUUCAUAUCUCAUCUCCGCUCUGCUGAUCCUCAAAUUGUCAACAGAGCAAUCAAACACUAAAUAACAAAUGACACAAAAUGUACAUUUGGUUGGUGUUUCUAUCUGUACUUAGCUCAAACGUGUCUGUUUCCAUUAGGGACAAAAUAUCACCAGUAAUCCCCACAAGAGCAAGUACCAUCCUUGAAAUGAUGGAACCUGCGAACAUCUCUCACAAUGAUCUCCCUCUGUACAAUCUUUGAAAUGAAUUUGCAAGCAGCAUGACAAUCAUUGCAAACUCUAAGAUUCUUGGCUACUCGAAUAAGAGUAAGCUCUUUGUCUGACCCUCUUGUCUUGUUGUCAAAGAGUUUUUCUAUGGCCAUGUUAUGCUUACAGAUGUGUGUUUGCUUAUUGACUGUUUGAUUGUAUGCUUGAUUCUUACGUUCUUCCUUGUGUUUGUGUCUUUCCUGGUUUUUUUUCCUGUUCAAAAAGUUUGGUUUGCACAAUGGGAAUGAAAUUUUUUGAGAAUUUUUGUCUUUUUUUUUUUCUAUGCGAACAAAUUUUGCAUGACAAGAGAGCAAAUUUUGAAAUUGUAUGCGUGACAUGAGAAAGAUUUGAUUGUUGCAUGGUCCCAAAUCUGGGAUAUGUUAUGGUGGUUCUUGCCAGCAAGAAGUAAAAAUGGUUCAUAUCCUGCUAGGGGAAGGUUGUGAGAUGAGAUGAAUAUAUUCCAGAUAAUUGCUUUAACUUCAUAUAUUUGUAUGCUUCCUUGUCCUGCUGAAAUCUCAAUUUUCCCUUCUUAAUGAGGGAAGACUCUGAAUUUGAAUGGUUUCUAAAUUUACCUUUACUGUGUUGAUAUAAUGAGAAAGGUUUAAUAUCUGUCUUGCUGAUCAAACAAAUUUGUCUUCUGUUCUAUACCUUUCCUUCAAGAAUGCUGCUAAGAGUUGUAUCUAGAUUUGCUGGAGUUUUUUAAGGUUUGAGAAGUGUCUGUAAGUCAUGAUAUCGCUGAAAAAUGAAAUGAAAAUGACUCGUAAAUCUGAAUAAUGAGGUUAUGUUGAAACAUUGUCCCACGAUAAUGUGGAGAGGUUCUCUAUGGAAAGAUAAGAUAACAAUCGAGCAUGUUGAUGAGGCAAAGAUGUACUUUUGAAAUUGUUUGUGCAUAUUACGUGAGCACUACUAUGAUAGAAUUUCAUACAAUUGAUUCUGUUGAUAUGUUUUUGUAGUCCUCUCAUAUUCGAACAAUUGUUUUGAGGAGGCAUCUCUCAACAUACAGCAAAGCAGGUUUUCAUAAACAUGCUCAAUGAAUACAGUGAAAACUUCCAAACUUUUAAUGAUGGUAUAGAUGAAUUCCUGUUUUUGAUAAACGAUUCAGGUGGUUUUUUGGAGUAAGCUAAGAAAUACAAACUUAGGACAAGAAUGAGUUAACAAAGUUUGAAUGAGGAGAUGUACUUUUCUUUUCUUUUUUGUGUAAACCAGUGUCCAGUGACCGCAUUGGGCCCUGACUAAUCUGGAGUCGAGCAAUAAUGAAUGACUGUAAUGAAUGAUUGAACUCGGCUACAUUUUGGCUCCGUACGGAUUGGAACUUUUUUUCAAAAGCCGUUUUUGUUUGUGGAGUCUACAGUACCAAGUCCUUGUUACUUCUGCUUCUAACAUUGAAUGAUUAUAAUAAAUGAUUGGGCAAUAAUGAUGUUUUAGCAUACGAGUUAUUCUGUGUGAAAGUAAUGUGAUGUUUCUUGUGCCUUUUACCUUAAAUAGGAUUAUGUGUUGAUCUAGCUAAAUGGCGAAGAUUAUGUGUUUCAUAUACCAUGUGGGAUGUAACCGAAUGUUCUUGCUCCUAGUGCAUGGGAUUCAGUGGAUUGGGUUCAUAGAUCUUCACUGCAUGAUCCAUCACGUGAUCUAUCUUCUUUAGCUUUUUCCUCAUAUUUACUUUCUUAAGACACAGUUGAAGAAUCUACCUUAUGGCCAACCCCAGAGAAAUAUGAAACCGCCCCAUCUUUUCCAUUUAAAUUUGUCCUGUGCAUCAGCAUCAGUUGUUUACCAUCCCUCUUCCUUGUAAUGCUGACACACACAAUGGAGACAAUUGGGCAUUGAUGUCUUCACCAAACCUAUAUUUACUUACUACAUCUUCUUGCUUCUUUGGACCUUCUUGUUGGAAGCUGUACUUACUACAGAUACUUGCUUCUUUGGAGCUUGUCUCCUUUCAUUAAUCUUGUUUGGAAUCUUACUUAACCAUUGCCUCCUUUCACUUAUCCUGGAUGUAGUGGUGAAGUAUGCCAUACCUCCUGUUUGAGCUAUGUAGUUAAUGGGUUGAUACUGGUCUAAUGGCAUGGUUAUGUUUGUAUAUUUGGCAGGCGCCUGGAGAAGCUUGAGAUGUUAAAACGUCGUGGAAAAGGACCACCGAAGAAGGGUCAAGGAAAGAAAGCUGCAAAGCGCAACAAAGUCAGCACCCCUGGGAAAUAGUGACUUUGUCUUGGAGUUGAAUGUGUUCCAAGGAAAAUUUAGACUAAUUGCAUUGGAAAAAUGGGUACCUAUUGAUGGUUGUCCAGUCAUAUUCUGAGCUACUAUGUUGAUAUUGCCACAAGUUUUUUUGGGCUGACUUCAAUGACAAUGGGUACGAUCUUCAGGAUAUUGUAGAAUUAUCUUUUUUGGUCUAUAGUUCCAUUCUCUUCAUUUUUCUUUCCUCGUCCUCCUGUAGUAAACUAUGAUGCUCGUAUGGCAGCAUUGCUGGGUCUCUGUUCUGUAGUACAGACUAACUUGUAUCUAAUUUUAACGCUGCUAGGCCUCUGGCCUGGUAGUCACCACCAUGCGGGAGAACCCUUGACCUUCCACCAAAAUUUGCCACAAUAUGUGGCGGUUUUAAUUGGUUUCCUUCAAUCGAGUCUAUAUUCAGAUUGAAUCCCCCUCCCCCUUGCCCCGUAGAUUAUGCUAGAUUAGGUUAUAGGAAUUCUAUCGUUGUGAAAAAAAAAAAAAUUAUCUAAUUUUAAUGCCUUUUUCCUUUUUUUUUUUUUUUGUUUUGGGUUUUUUUUUUUUAAUGGCUGAAAUCGGCCCAAUCUAGCUCGGGCAGAAGCCGACCGUGAUUUGAGUUGAAAUUCAAGUCAAUGGCUGAGAUCAGCUUUAGGUCUGCUGGGCUGAUCUCGGCCGUUAAAAGACCUCUGCAGUUGCACCUACUACCACAGAGUAUCCGCCAGUGCACCUCUCCUCCCCUGAGAAGGUGUAUUGUGAAAUAUCGUGUAGUGACGUUACAUUUUCUCUACACUUAAAUUUUGUUGAGAGUCUUAACAACAAAACAUUAAAUGAAAACGAGUUUUCAGAUGGAAUCUAGCCACCCUCACGCAGAUGACUCCCAAGGUAUUUCUGAGAACAUUUUCUUCCUACUCCAUAACCCUCUAUAUGCUCCACAAAAAUGGUUGUCCUUUGAACUAUCAGUUUUGCUAAGUCAUAUUUACCUCCUAUUUUCCAUGCACUCAUGCAACAAAAGUGUGUCAUCUGGCUCUGGACUUGGACCAAUCCUCACUCUCCCCUUUUAGCAGCAACAUCAUCCAUCAUUAGACAGACUUAGUCGAUGAAAUAAGCAUUGUUGUUUAAUUUGUUAGUUAAUCAAGUUUUGCAGUUCUAAUCUGCUUGGUUUGUGGAGAAACUUGGUAUUAAUGUUCCAGUGACAAUUUACUGCCUAAAGACUUUAUGAAAAGUUGGUAUUAAAGAUGAGAAUUUAAUCAACUACUGUAUUAAGAAAGUGAGGAAGUUAAGCAAACUACUCAAUAUAUCCAGGGUUAAGUAGAAUGUGGUCAUAUGAAUCUGACAGGAGGACACAGCUGGAAUACACUAUUAAGAACUUACAAGCUUUUGAUCGUAUAACAUUUCUUCAUAUCUCAUCUCCGCUCUGCUGAUCCUCAAAUUGUCAACAGAGCAAUCAAACACUAAAUAACAAAUGACACAAAAUGUACAUUUGGUGGUGUUUCUAUCUGUACUUAGCUCAAACGUGUCUGUUUCCAUUAGGGACAAAAUAUCACCAGUAAUCCCCACAAGAGCAAGUACCAUCCUUGAAAUGAUGGAACCUGCGAACAUCUCUCACAAUGAUCUCCCUCUGUACAAUCUUUGAAAUGAAUUUGCAAGCAGCAUGACAAUCAUUGCAAACUCUAAGAUUCUUGGCUACUCGAAUAGUAGUCCCAGGAGGGGUAUUUAGGAGACCAAAGGCCAUUGCUAAUCUCUCACUAUGUCCACACAGCAAAUUCUCUUUCUGCUCUUCAUCAACAUUGUGAAGUACACAGGAAGUAUCAGGCUCAUAACCCUCCUCUUUCAUCUUAUCUGACAGUUCAUCAAUAAAGCUGUAAAGCUGCUCACUUUGUGGGUGUGAUAGGUCUCCAGCCAAGAACUUAUGAACCUCACCACCAAACUCAAUCCAACUGCUCCCAGGUUCUUUUCUCACUCCCUUUUCCUUCAUGUUCUUGCGGACAUUAUUAGCUUUUUCCCAAAGUCCAGCAGAUGAGUAAAUGUUAGAUAGUAAAACAUAGUGGCUAGCAACAUCUGGCUCCAACUGAAUGAGAUUGUUUGCUGAAAUUUCGGCAAGUUCUACAUUUCGGUGGACCCGGCAAGCACCAAGCAUACUGCUCCAAGCCCCUACCUUGUCAUAGUCUAUGGGCAUGGAAUUGAUGAGUUGAAGUGCUUCCUCAAGCUGACCAGCUCGACCAAGCAAGUCAAUAACACAUGCAUAGUGGUCCGCUGUAGGUUCAAUCCCAUGAUCUUCUUUCAUUUUAUGAAACAGUUGCCAGCCUUCAUCUACCAACCCAGAAUGACUGCAUGCUGCAAAAAUUGCAAUAAAGGUCACUUCAUUAGGUCUCAGUUCUCCAUUUCUGGAUCCAUCCGCUACCAUAGCAUUGAAAAGUGCCAAGGCUUCGUUUCCUUUCCCAUGCAUCCCGUAAGCCAUUAUGAUGACAUUCCACGAGAUCAAAUUUCUGGUAGGCAUGCCAUCAAAAAACCUUCUUGCUAAAUCUAGACAUCCACAUUUGGCAUACAUAUCAACCAAGGCACUACCAACAGCAACAUCUGAGGCAAGGGCAUUUCUAAUAGAAUUGGCAUGAAUCUCUUUACCCUUUGAUAGUGUUGAUAAGGCAGCACAACCAGGAAGGACAGUCAUUAGUGUUAUUGAAUUUGGUUUAAUAGGAGUUCCAAGAUUGCCCUCAUAGUUAUCCUUCCAUUCCAUGCUUAUUUCUGCUUCUUGCAUUUGAUGCAUUAGACGAAGUGCAUUUUCAUGGUAUCCACACACUACACAGCCCGUAAUCAUAGUGUUCCAAGAAACAAUAUCUCUACUGUCCAUGAUUGAAAAGAUAUAUUCUGAAACAGUUAUCUUGCCAAUCCUAGAGUACAAGUCCAUCAAUGCAUUUUGCACAUACCGAUCUCUUGCAAAACCUAGUUUUAUUAUAUAUCCAUGAAUGACUUCUUUAUUGGAAAAUGCUUCACAGUGCACGCAAGAUGGCAAGACACUUGCAAUUGUGGUUGGGUUUGGCAGAAGCCCUGGAAUCUCCAUCAUAUCCAUAAAAAGCAUCAAGGCAUUCUCAUAAAAUCCAUUCCGUGCAUAACCAGCAAGCAUGGCAUUCCAAAGCCCAAGCCUCCUCUCUGGAGUACCAUCAAACACUCUCCUCCCACUUUCCACCUGUUUACAAUUGCAAUACAUGUCAACCAAUGCACUUGCCACGAAAGAGUUCUCUACCAAAUCUUCAUUCCUCAGAACAAAUGCAUGAAUUUCCUUCCCAAUGUCAAGUAGCUCUAAAUUAGAACAUGCAGGAAGAAUACUCGAAAGUGUCAUGCCAUCAGGCAUGAACCCCUCAAUUAUCAUCAUUCUGAAGUGCUCCAAUGCCUCAUAAAAUUGACCAUUCUGUUGACAUGCACUUAUAAUGGUAUUCCAUGCAACCACAUCACGAUUAGCAUAAACCUCAAAUACUGCCCUAGAAUCACCAACACUUCCUAGUUUUGCGUACAUAGUCAUCAAAGCAUUCUUGGUAAAAGUCUUGCAAUCAUCCACUCUCAAACUAUACCCAUGAACUUGCUUCCCAAGCUUCAACCCAUCACUACCACCCAAAUUACUACACGCCAGUGCGGCACUCACCAAGUAAAGGAGCUAGCUCAGUUCCCUCAUUACCCAUCAAUCUUAACGCUUCUAAUGCCAUUUCCCACUCCUCAAAUUUACACAAAGCAUUAAUCAUCGUAUUCCAAGACACUUGAUCUCUUUCAGGCAUUCCAUCAAAUACCUUGAACACUUCCGACACAUCUCCACAACUCCCGUACAAAUGAAGCAGGGUAUUGGCCACGGUAACUGACGAAUAAUCAUACCCAAGCUUAACAACAGAACCAUGUACCUGCUUUCCAAAAUUCAAGUCGUGAAGACCCGUGGCGGCCUUCAAAACCGCUGGAAAGAUAAAGUUGUCCGGCGUAAUGCCUACAGUGGCAUCUGAAUGUAGGUGGAAACGGCCUCUUCGAAGCGUUUGGCUUGGGUCAGGGAUCGAAAUUCUUUGCUCCAUGAGGUUAAGGAACGUGCGUGUGAAGUGGGUUUUGGUGGGUUUCCAGUGAUGGUCGGAGGAAAAAGAGUUUUAGUGUGGUGGUGGAGAGCGGUGGUUGAGGGUAAGUUUUUAUCUGAGAUGGUGGCUUCGGGAUUUGAGUUUGUAGAGAAGAAACGGGGUAGGGAGGCUGAGAAAGAGCUUGUGUGGAUGUACAGGGAAUGACAUUGGCGGAUAAGGUAGUUAUCACUGUUGAUGCGGCUUCCCUCCCUUGUAGUCGUUUGUUUUGGAUGGUUUAUUAUACUUGCAUGCUUUUAUGGGUUAAAUCACAAUAAGUCCCCUAAAGUUUGGUGUGUUUAGAAGUUUACCCCUUUACUUUUCUCACUUUAUCCUCUUCGUCAAUUUACCUCAGCAAAUUGGCCGUCAAAACAUUGUAAUUGGCAAAAAUAUCCCUCAUUUUAAUCAUUAAAUUUUUUGAUGAAAAUGGCACUUUUCAUGUUUCAUAAAGAAAUGAACCCCCAGAAGUUAUCAAGUAUGUUUUGGGCAUUUAUCACGUCAAAAAAUUUGCUCUCACUCUUUUGCAAUAUUUGCAACUAAAAUGCCAAGUUUCUUAAACUGCAUUCCCUUGCUCUCUCGUUAGAUGUUGCUUAGCACACCAUAUGAAAAAAAUCCAAUUCAAGAAACCUGUGAAUGUGUUAAAAUAGCCUUGAGAAGAUCUUGGACGUUGAAAAUUUUUCGAAAGGACAUUUCAUGAAUAUUCAAAUUAUAAGGUUUGAUUUUUAUGAUAGGCUAAUUAUUUUUUGUACUUUUUGGAAAACUAAUUUGAAAUACAUAAAAUUUUUAUUUAGAAUCAUCAUGCAUAACAUUACUUUGAAUGGAUAGACUCGAAAUUGUUCGCAGAGGAAGAAAAAUAUAUGCUAUAUCCGACCCAAAUCUAUGGGCAUUUAUAUCUAUUCAUUAUUUUUUAGGGAUAGUAUUGUACUUUUGAUGUCAACUAUCAGCAUUGUCCUUUUGAUGUCAAUGAUCAGCACCGUCACAAAAUGUUGGAGGAGGGGCUGGAACGGUUGUCAGAGAUAAAACCGUUCCGGAAGGUUCACGGUCAUGAUUAGGCCAAAAAAUUUUGUGCGGCUCAGAUCAUUCCUUGUAAUUUGAUUUUCACGCCAUGUGGGACCCACAAAAAUAUUGUUCUAGUGUUACUCGCUGUUGUUCUAUUAUUACACCUUGUAUAAAUAAUGUUACACCGUGUGCAAAUGAUGUUACGUCUUUCGGAACGGUUGCUAUCGUUCCAGCCCGGAUCCCAAAAUGUUUGCUUUGCUAGUCAAGGGGAUAAAAUGAAAAAAAUAAAACAUUAGGAAAUAAACUGCAAAAUAUACUAAACCUUAGGGGGACUCCUUGUGAUCAAUCUGAAUUUUAUUUGCUUGGAUUUUAAACCCAUUUUUUAAUCACCUUUUAUUUGAUUCGAGAUACAUUACAUCAAAAUAGUGUUACAUAUCUUUUCAAAAAAAUUAUCCCAAAUACUCUUCCGUCCAAACCUCAUCCCUGUUAUAUUUAGUAAUUUCUUAUUCAUUUAUAAGGGACAAAUUAAUCAUUUCUUGAUUGCAUUUUUACUUCAAAAGAAAUAAUAAUGUCUUUCCAUUGGAUACAACAUGAACACUCUUGCAUUUCUUUUCACGGUCGUCUCAAUGACAUGUAAUUGAACUUAAACCUAACCGAAUCCAAAGAUAAUUAUGCAGGAAAAGUUUAAUUGGCAUAAAUCAAUUCCUUUACUUCUCAAAUUUCUCAUGGACUAUGAAGCAUAAGAUUUUUUGCAUCACCAAUCUAAGAUAGACAUGAACACAUCUUAGUGCAUCAUACUGUGGCACGGAUGGUUUGACAGAUGAAUUGUGAACGUUUUUUUAACAUUUUCUGUACUUGGCAGUAUUGUGAAGACAACCUAAGAUAGGAUUAUUUAUAUUAUCCAACAUCCAUUACUAAAACUUUAGGAUCCUAAAAAGUGACAUUCCAUGUCUAUCCAGAAAGAUAAAAAGAGUAGAAUCUCUUUUCAAGAAAAAGGGAAAAAAAUAAAUCUUAUAUAGAUUAAUAUGUACAUCAACGGUGAUACAUUAUUACGAUUAGAUGAACAAUACAUAUAAAAAAUUUUAUUUUAAAUUUAAAUUCGAAUUAUGUUUGAUAUAUUAAAUAAUAAAAAUAUAUACUGCCUGUAUAUAAACGAUUAAUUAAAAAAAUGCCAAAAAAGAAGGGGAAUGGAUUCAAUAGAAUCUUGCAGAACUUUUGCAUAGAAUCGGUGAAGGAUAAGAAUCCGCACUCUUUCCACAUUUCUGAACCUGGCUCAUCAUCUUUCAUCCUUCCAGCACGGAAUCCCCCAGGCCCCAUCCUCGGAACUAGGGAUGUACGCGAACUGAGAUACUUGCGAGUGACUCGCGAGUAGCUCGAUCAAUGGCUUGGCUCGAAUUCGAGUUGAUCGAGUUCGAACCGAGUUUCGAGUAGCUCAAUUGUCGUUUGAGUUGAGUUUCGAGCCUCAAAUUUUUGGCUCUCGCGACUUAUCGAGUAGCUCAUCGAGUCGAGGUAUUUAAAUAAUAUAUUUAUAAUUUAAAUAAUAUAUAUGUAUUAUAAUUAUAAAAUGACUAUUAUGGGUAUAGGUUAUACGGAAUUUACAAUAUACUCUUCUUUAUAAUAAAAUUCUAUAAUGGCAAAAAAGUAAUAACAUAAUUGUAAAAUUACCUAAAAAAUUAUCGAGUCGAGUCAAAAAACUUGAUUAGACUCGACUUGAUAAGGCUUAACUAAGGGCUGACCCUUAUCGAGUCGAGUCUCGAGUUUAAAACGAAUUUAUCGAGUCGAGUUUCGAGUAUUAAUUUUUUGACUCGAUCGAGCUCGAGCUCCCGGGAUAUAUGAGUCGAAUCGAGCUCCAAUAUUGCUCGACUCGAUUACAUCCUACUCGCGGACCACUUGACUACGACCGAUCACUUUCUCGCAUCAAAAUCACAUUUAACAUCCAUCCCUCCAGACAACAAGAAUCCCAGUUAAACUUUCUUUCUAUAUCAUUUUACUGUAGGUUCAGACUUUGGUAGAGACUGAUUGCUACUAUAAAUAUGGAGUCUUGAGCAAGGCAGAUUGCAUCCCAGAACAGCUCUGCUUUAUCCACCAUAAUAUCAGCACCAGCAGCAGACUGGUAGCUAGUAGUUGUUAUUAUAGAGGCACAAAAUGGCCGAGUAUACAAGAGAAGCAGCUAAAGUUACAUCAAUCUUUGUAUACCCCAUCAAAUCUUGCCGUGGAAUUUCUGUUUUUCGGGCACCCCUUUCUUCCACUGGUAAAAUCAAUCACUCCUCUACAUCUUUUUAAAUUUCAGAUUUUCAUCUUCUUGUCCCUUAAUUGGUCUGGCAUGUGCUUUCAAUUUCUAUCAUGGGUUCUUGGAAUUUCCCCGCCAUGCAUUUGAUUAUAACCUAUUUGUGCUGAAAAAAGAAAAUAGGAUCUUGGAAUUUUGGUCUUCAGUCCAUGCAUGUGUAACUAAAUUCAGUUCAGUUAGAAGAGAAUUUUGGGUUUUUCUUUAGUUAACAAGAAUGAGAACAUUUACUUUCGAAAGGGAUAGAUUAUUGAAAGGACCAUUAACAACCAUCAAGGUUAAGCCCAUAGUUCUGUUGGAUGAUAACCAUGUAAUCUUAGUACUUUAUUGGAUGGUUAAGGUACACGCAAUUUAUAAUUUUUAGCAGCAAUACUAAAUUUUAAUUUUGAAAUGCUAGCCUGGCUUGUCAUCGAUUCUUCACUAACAUGAAACUUGAUUUCAAUUUCACGUUCAGAAUGAUACAAAUUCUUUCCUGCUAAAUUUAUGUUGCAGGGUUUCGAUGGGAUCGACAGUGGUUGGUAGUGAAUUCCAAAGGCAGGGCUUAUACACAGAGACUAGAACCAAAGCUUGCUUUAGUUGAAGUAGAACUGCCAAAUGAAGCAUUCUCUGAUGGUUGGGUUCCAAAUAACAGCUCAUACAUGGGUAAAAGCUCGGACUUCUACAAUAAAAUUCAAAUUUAUUCUCCAGUUUUUAGAUAUUUACCUUCUUGUUUUGUCAUUUGAUCAAUAACAACCUACUACAGGAUUGAAAUUUUCCCCCUUGACUUGACUUUUCAUGUCAAGCUGCAUAUCUUAGGCAUUAUUAACACAAUAAGAUAAAAGAAUUUAGAUAAAGAACUGGCAGAAGAGUUGAGAACUAGUAGAUUAAUUGCGAAAUUAUGAGCGUACUUUCCCUGUUGCCUAUUCGUCCUUUUCUUUUUCUUUUUCUUUUUUUUUUUCCGGCGGGGGGGGGGUGGUUGGUUGUCUCCAGAGGUUGGGGUUGAUGGAGAGAUUGGAGUUUGUUCCUAUACUUUAUGAUUGCAAUAUACCUGUAAUCUUUGGUGACUAUUGGAUAUGCCAUAAACAUUGAUAAGAUGUGCAUGUAACUUUUUGUUCCUUUCCCUGACCACCGAGGUAGGGGAACUUUUCCCUGGUUCUAUGAUUACAUUAUGCAUGUUCUUUUUCUGACUAAUGGAUGAUACAUAAUGUCACAGUGAUAAGAGCUCCUGGCAUGGAUCCACUGAAGGUUUCCUUAUCUAAACCCUCUGCAACAGCUGAUGGUGUCUCAGUCUGGGAGUGGUCUGGCUCUGCAUUUGAUGAGGGAGAUGGUGCAUCAAAAUGGUUCUCCAGAUAUCUUGGAAAGCCAAGUAGAUUAGUUCGUUUUAAUGAAGGUAGCGAUCAAUCUUUAUAUUCUACAGAAAUUCUGGUUUUAUGUCUAGCAAUAAAAAAUCUGCCGCUUGAUAUUAUGGUUGUCUUCACCUCAUGAAUGCAAAUUCAUGUUUGUGAUAUUUACCUGCUUAUUUUCUUGAAAGGUCACUAGGCAUGUUCCGAAGCAUUUCGAAAGCACGUUGUUGAGAGUUGUAGCUUUUUUUUUUUUUGCCCCUUUUAUAAAUUAAGAACUGUACUCUUUUGUUGGUUGGCUACAUUUCACAGAAACUUGGCUUGAAAUAAACUUCUCUUGAUCUUUUUAAUUGUUAGUCUUCAAUUUUUUCUUUUUGGUUUUUGAACUUUUUGAUUGAACCAUUGGCUUCUCUAACUUCAAGGAUGACUUGUCUGUACUACUAAGUUUGAGAUUCUUAGUCAUAUAUGGAUCUCUCUGAUAGUCUGUUUACUUAACAAUUGAUGCCUAGAGAUCCUUACUACUCCGUUUGACAAGAAUUGAAGUUUCAAAGUAAAUUGAGUUGCAGUCGUAAGUUGAGGCUAUAAGGCUAGGAUCUCCAAGGCUUUCAUGUUAUGCUUUACUGACAGAUUUAUUCAAUUAGCAGGAAAUUGACUGUCCAUAUAUCAAUACUUGGUAAUGUCCCUGAAUUUCCACAAUUGCUAACAUGUUGAAAUACAGGGUAGUUUGAUUGCCUGUUGACAGUUAUUGGCAAUUAGAGGAUUUGACUUAGUUGGAUGUCCUUGUUGAUGACUUAGAAUCCAAAUAUGCAACUGUUUUUCUUUGCAUCUAAAAAUUUGACGUGCAGUCCAUGCUGCACCUAAAGCAGAAUGACUAGGCUGUUUAUUUAAAAGAAAAAAAUAAAUAAAAUAUAGAGGGAUAGGAGGAUAAUGAUUUUGUGUGCUGUUUGUGGUGCAGCGUCAAACAAGGAAUGUCGACCCUAACUAUGCUCCUGGAUACAAAGUCAUUUCUCUGACCAGUAUCCCUUCCUCCUUGCAUCCCAGGUUAAUUAAAUUUGAAUUACAGUGGCAUUGUCCUAUCAGAUGGCUUCCAGAUGUUGAUAAUUCCCAAUAUGCCUUUUGCAGGGAUCAUUAGAAGCCUUGAAUAAACUUCUCAAGGAACCAAUACCAAUUAAUCGUUUUAGGCCCAAGUAAGUAUAGAAAGUUCUCCUUUUCAUAGUUUUGAUCAUUCCUCACUGCAUAUCUAACACUUCUGCGUAUAAUAGCUACACUCAAUUUUUGCAGUGCUCAGACCAAACAUAUUUGGUCUUUUAAAAUCCUUACAGGUGUUUGCUUCUCCUGAAAUGGGCAGAGAUUCUUGUUUAUUCUUUCUUUAAAAAAUGUUCUUUUCUUGAACUAAAGAUAUUAAAAUUUGCACAACGGCAGUAUUCUUGUUGAUGGAUGUGAACCAUUUGCCGAGGACUUGUGGAAGGAGAUCAGGAUCCAGAAGUUAACAUUCAAUGGUGUCAAAUUAUGCUCUCGCUGUAAGGUAAUAUCCUAUCCCUUAUCUUUUGGCUGAACUAUUUUCAUUCACCUUGCUUCUUUAGAAUCCAAUUGUUGAGCGGAGAGAUCCUGGCUUUCAGUGUGCAGGAAUUUAUUGGUCAUCUUGUUGCCUAGAUAUUUUAUUGCUAACAGAAAUAUGGCCGUCUUAUCAACUGGAAGAACAGUGCUUGGUUUGUAGUUGAGUGUCGUAAAAUGCUAAGUAGCUCCUGAAUAUGUGAAUUUGUGGCUGACCGUCAAUGUCACAAAGCAUUAAAUAUGAAUACUAGUGUACUAAAAAUUUUUGUAGGUUGCAAUAGGUUCUGAGUCUACCGUGCACAUUUAUUUAUAUACACUCGUAGACUCCAAGAGCCAAAGGAAAACUUGUCCAACUUGGUCUGCUACCUGAAAGGAAAUUGAUAUUUUGUCAUUAUGUGAGUUUUCGAGUAUAUAAAUAAGACUCUUAAGAACCGAAGUAGAACUUUGCUGGUCUGUUAGGAAUUUUGAAGCUAAAUAGCUCGAGAGCUAAUCAAAACUACAGUAAAAAGUUCAUACUCUAAGCUGUGUAAUGUUUUUCUGAGCUUGAGAAAGGUUGUAAUCUCAUACGCAGGAACCGUUUAAGAUAACCUGCUAUUGGAUUUCUUUUUUCAACGUUCAUAAUUAACCAGACAUAACCAAAUGUUUUUAUUCCUUGCCUUUCGCCCUUAUUUCAUCAUGAGCUUCAUUUUGGGCCAAACUUGCACUGGUGGACAUAAACCUCAAUAAACACGCAGUGCUAUAACAUGCUGAAAUCACAAAACUCGUAUAUUAUACUUACUGGGGUAGAAAGACAGUUGCUGUUCUUGUGCUUCCAGCAGUUGGAUUCUCAGUCUGAUGUACAUGACCAGUCAGCUCAAAAGCCACAAGUCUUUCGUGUCUUAGAUGAUCUUAACAUCUGUAAUGUUGACUCGAAUCUUUCGCGUCCAAACCGUGGGAUUUUAGAUGGUUGUUUGGUAGACUGUGUGUAUUGAAUGCAAUUGGAAUUAUUAGUUCAGGCGUGCAUGUGUUGAUGUGUUAUAGUACUUCUCAUCAAUCUAUAGUUGAAGACUUUAAUGUUCUAUGCUACUUGUCUCUUUCAGGUACCCACAAUUAAUCAAGAAACUGCAAUUGCAAACUCCGAGCCAACUGAGACUCUGAAGAAGUUCCGUUCGGAUAAAGUACUGCGCAAGAAACCGCAGGGCACCAAGGUAAAUCAGGGGAACUUGGACUAUAACUUAGAAUAUAAUUCUAUCAGCAUAAUUACGUAUUGAGGGUGUGAGCAUUUGAAUCUGCAGGUGUAUUUUGGACAGAACAUGGUAUGCUCCGACUCUCAAAUUCCAGGAAAGGGAAAGAUGAUAACGGUGGGAGAUCCUGUCUAUGUUCUCAAGGCGUUCUCUUCUGCAGCUGAUGCUGAAGCUUGAAUGCUCUUGCAGUCUUCCCAUUUGCCAGUAAUCUGUUGUGUGGGAAACAAAAGAACCAAAUAAAUAAGUUGCCACAGGGCAUUUUCUUCGCCUUUGUGAAUCAUUUCCCCCGUUGCAUGCCAUGGCAUGGUUUGCUCGGCAAAAUUACAGAGGGAAUUGUAUGCAAACAAAUAAAAUUCCCGUGCUCUUGCCUUUAAGCAAAGCCGUCCAAGUAAUCUGAGAUAUUUUUAAAAACAUUUUAUACGGUAAUUACUAUAUCAAGCUUUUCUUUAAAACUAUCUAUAAUUAGUGGCACAAGACUAAUAAACACUUGGUGAGGGCUACCACUUAAAAUGUACAAGAAGAAAAAGUUUAAAACCUGCUGCUCAUUUUUAUAUUUAUAAUGAUAAGGGUCAAAUUCGGGCCAAAACAGACUGAUCUGAUUAUUGAUUGAUACCUGUUCUGAAGAUCAAAGGCUCACGUGCUAGAUUUUGGAAACCACAGAGCACAAUUUGUGGAAUCCUCCUCCUUUCCAUUUUUUUUUUAUAUGAUAGUAAUACCAGUGGAUGAACCAAGCUGCAGUUAGAAAUCUGCCCAAUCACUCAAAAAAAAAAUUGACAGAAGACAAAUUUAAAUCAAAAUUCUGUCACCGGCGAGUAGUAUAAUCUAGUUGCUGGCAAAAUCUCAAAAUCCUUGACCAUUAAGAUAAGCAACACUCGUACAACUAAACAAAGUAAUGUGAACUAAAACAAAACAAUUCUGAGCAACCACUGCUUGAAGCAAACAUGCUCUAGCUCACAGGUCCUGCACGCUCAAACCUGCAAUAAUUGAAAGAGAACGAACGUAAGUGUCCAGGAAAGAUGAUAAAACAAUCUCAACUACACCACAAGUAUCAGACAUAAUGCACAGAGCUCUUGCAACCUAUUAUUUGAUCUGUCAAGGGCAAGGCAACUCAACCAUAAAUUACAGCCACUAGCCAAUUUCCUGUCUAUUCAUAUUUUGGCUUUCAUUCAUACAUCAUUAAGAAUCUGAGCCAGAAUACCCAGCUUAAGGUUUCAAAAUCAAGAAAUCACUUCAAACUCAGAAACAAAGACAUAAAGCUAAAUAAUGAAAUAUACUAGUUUAACAAUGGAAAGCAAAUAAGGUUUAGAAGCACGAGUCAAAUCACUACAAAAUCCAACUUAGACAAAGUCUACUCAAUCUAUGAGACUUCCACAUCAUUAUCAACAAUAGCAAAAUGAAGCUAGAGAUAAAAAGCACAAAAAAACGAGCUUAUACUUUAUAUUCUGAUUGAUACUAUGUUACACUACAUAAUUAUGGUAGUGAAUGGUUUUGAGAAAAUACUACAGCAUGAAUAUUGCAGUACUUGGAGAAAAAGCAGUCAUCACAAACCUGGGGGAAGUGAUUGCUUCAACUUGUCAGCCUUCUCGGAGUCGAAGACGCAGAGUGUGUACAGAUACUUAGAGCAGCGAACCUUGAACUUCACCACAUCUUUGCUCCUCUUUAUCUUCACGGAACGCGCAUCCUUCCUUCUAGCAGUGAGAAGAAAAUCCUUAAUCUCGUGUAUUUGCUUCGGCUAUGAUCAAGACGGAAAGCAGUUAGUGACAUCCACAAGAAAAAACAUUGGCAGCUAAAGUUUUACUGUAAAAGUAGAUACUAUUGCAAAAUAAUGAAUUAAGUAGUAAUUCCGCCGAAAAACAAUUCUCGCAAAUCAGUUUUUCAGCCUAAGUGUCUCUUUAUCAGAUUUCAACUUCUAAGGCUUUCCUCUUCCCUAUAUAGAAACAUAGCGAAUUUAUCAAAAAAUAGCACCAUUUGUGAACUAGAUAACAGUCUUGCAAUAACAUCAGGACAAUAGUAUAUGAGCUCUGAUGACAAAGUCAAUCCAAGCAUAAUGAGUCCACGAUGGUUCAAAUUCAAAAAGAAAACUUUCACCAACUGAAUUGUAUAACAUAGCUAGAUAUUCAGCUAUCGCUCAAUCUCAUUACAGUUACCAAAUUUAAGCAGAACUUCAAAACAAAUUCUACAUAAAAGUAAGUGUGCAUAUGAUCUCAACGCUAAUAGGGGAAAUUUUAUAUAAAUUGAGCCCAGGAAGCUAUGAAAAGGGGAAAUGACAACAGAAAAACGGUAAUAACCGCAACAUAAUUACGUAUAUUCAUAUAUCCACUCCAACCAAUAGUCAUCGUUCACACAAAUCAAACGUUGCAUUACAUAUCCUUAAAAUCAAAGUAAAAUAAAAUACAAAAAGGAAGAAAGAUCCUAAGCCCGAAAUGGAAAAAAAAAAUGAAUCGAUAAUCCCCUAACCUCAAGUAUAUAGUAGAAGACAAACAAAUGCUAGUUCUUCCACGAAUAAGAAUUAACCAAAAAUAAAAAGGAAAAAAAUGCAAAGAAGAUGACUACAAAUGGCGCAUUAACUCGAAACUCAUACAGAAAUAUGGCAAAGAGAAACCAAAUUUAAAUGGUAAAUCGGAAGAAAUUUGAAGGGGAGAUAGAGAUAGAGAUAGAGUACCAUGUUUAGCGACGAUGAAGAGCAAAGUAAAGCAGCUGCUGCGGCGGCUCCUCCUCCAGCACCAGAGCAAUGGUUUAUAUAACACUCUCGGCGCACAUAAAACCUAGGAUUUUGUUUUCCGAAGUUUCUUUUCCCAAAUUUUACCCCUAACCUCAUGAUAUUUAUCCUUAAGUCCCUCCCUUAAAGUCCCUUUUAGGGGUGGCAAUUUUCGACAGAUCUGAAAAUCCGACACGAACCUAACACGAAAUUAAUAGAUUGGGAUUUAGAUUUGAUAAAAUCGGUCAGAAUCGAGUCAAACCUGACAAAUUCAAAAAAAAACAUGUCAAAAUCGGGUUAAAAACGGGUUGACCCGUCAACCCGAUUUUAAAAUAAAUAAAUAAAUAAAUAAAUAAAUAUUAAAAAAGUAUCUAAAAACUUAAUAGUAAAUAACUAAAUAUAAUAUACCAAUUAUCACUUAUCACUACGCAGAAGCAGAAAUCACGCCGGCCCUAAAUCUUUCUUUUCCUUUUCAACUUUUCUCUUCCAAAAAUCUAAACUCAACUUUUUUCCUCCAAAAAUCUAAACGCAAAACCAGAUUUAGAUCUAGAUCUGACUGAUGAUGACACUGAUGCACACAGGACUGAUUUGAUGACCAUAACCAGUUUGUAUUGAACGAGCAGUCCAACUGUCCAAGCACGCAAAAUCUCGCGGGGAUUUCACUAUCUUGCCUCAAUCACAUUGUUUUGGGUUGCAAGUUCAUUUGUUCUACUAUCAACAAGGUCCCUCCGUUAGAGUUCUUUACUUCUUUUCUUUUCUUGAGCUUUUUCCCUCUUUUCUAAAAACAGAGGCAGAAAGAUGAAAUCUUGUGUUUUGUCACUUAUAUUUUAACUACAUUUAUAAAACCGCUUCCACUUUUUCUCUCUUUCUCUAACACAUACACACACACCAAAAAGUCUCUUGGCGUAAAAUGUUCACCGAAAAUCAAUUACCGGCCUUUCCAACCUCAGAAAAACAUUUAUUACGAUUUUCUUGGGCAGAGAAAUGUCAUUCGAUGAAUUAAAUUUCAGGUCGUUUCGGUCAACCCGCUUGACCCGCCAAUCUGAAACUUUCGAGUUCGGCAUCAGCAUGCCUGACCCGUCACGGGUUGACGGCGUCAAGUUCGAUUCAACAGAUUUUUCUGACGGAUUGCGGUCAAAACCCGACCCAUCAACAUGAUUUGAACCCGAUUGCCCAUCCCUACUCCCUUUGUCCCUUUCUUUGGCCUUCUAAUUUUUUCUGGAGUUUUGAGGAGAAAAUUAGAAAAUAGUUUAGUAUUGCUUCUAAUUGUAAUAUAGACACAAAUAGGGAAAAUUUUUUAUAAGAUAAUCUCUUCUUUUUUUUUUGAGUUAGCGUCCUGUUUGAUAACUCAAUUCAGUACGUAAUUUAAUGAAUUCAGAUUGUUUGAUAAUAAAAAAUUGAACAUCUAAAAUUAAUUAAAUGUCAUUAAAUUUUCAAAGCAAAACUUGCUCUCAAAAUUAAGCGAUAAAUUAUUCACUUAUCAUUGAAUGUGAUAUGCAUUCAAAUAUAUUAAAUUUAAUAUUUAACAAUUCAAUAACUUAAUAAAUUCACACUUCAAAUUUUAAAUUUCAAUUAUUAGAUUUCAAUUUUAUCAAACGUACCCUUAGUAUUAUUUUGCUUAAAUAUUUCAAAAUCUUAAUUGAGUCCUUGAAAUUUUAAAAGGUUUUAUUUUAUCCUUUAAAUCAUUCCAAAUAAUAAAAAUCUCAAUUUGGUCACUUUGAGAGAAAAAGUUUCAAUUUGGACACCAAAGGAAGCCACAAAAUUGUAACUUGGACUCUAAAAGUGAAAAUCUUAAUCGGGUCCUCCACAUUGAGAAAACAUUCCAACAUGGUCCUCUAUAUGUAUUUUGCAUUUGCUAUUAAAACAAGAUACCAACGCCGAAAGAAUUAACUCCAAAAAUAGAAAAAUAUAAGCAAAAGUAAUUCUUGUCCUUCUAUCUAAAAAAAAAUCUUCGUUGGGUUCUUCUUCUUCUCUUCUUUUUUUUUCACACAAUGGUUGAAAAUUAUUUGAACUAAUUCUUUUUUUCUAUAAUUCUUUUUUUUCACAUAAGAUGACAAGUAACUCAUAAUGGUGAGAAUAACAUAAUUAUAAAAUUAACCCUUUUAUGAUGAGAAUUAUAAAUAAAUCAUGUUAGAGAUAGGCGAUAUUAUUGAAAUAAUUUUAAAAAAAAAUACUGUAGCACUUUUUUGAUGUGAUAUUUAUGAGAUAAAAAUGUAAUUAAAAAAUAUAUUUGAUGAUGCAAGCAAGUCAGCGUGUACAAAUAAAGUGUAAAUAAAGUGCAAUCCAAACACAAAGUUGAACCCCUUGGCUUCUAUUAUUAAUAAACUCCAAGCCUUUUGUGCCCUAAAAACUCAAUACAGGUAAAUUCUUUGAUUUAAUUUCAAUACAACAUACCGUUUUAUUAUCGAUGAAACUCAAAAUUGUUUUGUGUUAAAAUCAAAAGAAUUAACAAUAGAUUGGACUCUUAUCAUUGAAUAAAUUAAGCCUCAAAUGCUUUAUGUAACAAGACUAAAAUGGGAUUGCGUUUUGUAUGUAUUUUACUGUUGUAGCUCCAAAUCAAACCAAAAAAUCAGGCGAAAAAAAAAAGUACUGCCACAUCUAAUAUACUAUAUACACCUGCUUGAAUUUUACAUCUAUAGGUUUUAAAACAGCACUGGCAUGGUCCAUGGUUGGAGCAACCAUAUUCGCGUCUAAUCAUAAUGUGAUCACGCUCAAAUUGAAUUUGAAUCAAUUAAUUAGCUUGGCCUGAAUCCUAGUUGGAACUUAGUAAUUAGUUCAAUUAAUCCUUUAACCUUCAACCAAUUAGAAACUACAUACUCUAAGUUCAAAAACCUUAAUUCUCGAAAGAGAAAAUGGCCAAAUUUGCUCUACUAAACUUUUUACUAGUGCUGAUUUAGUCUCUAAUUUUAUUUUUGGCCAAUUUGAUACGUCGAAUAUAUGUUGUGAUUCUAAUUAAGGACUCUCUAAGGCGGUAACACCACGUAAAAGUACUCGAUUGGGAACUUCAAGUAUGGAUGUUAAUAAAACCAAGUAAAUCAGAAAAAAAAAAAAUCAUUAGUUUUUUGGGGUAUUUUAAUAUUUAAAACUUUUUGAGGUAUUUUUAAAAUUUUUAUUUUAAUUUCUUUCCUUUUCUCCUACCUUAUCUCUUCCUCGUCCCUACUCCCUACCAUUGUCUCCAGACUCACCACUCUCCUCUCUGCCAUAGGCACUACCGCCCACCUAUUUCCUCUCCUCUUUGUCUACUAUUCUCUCUCCUACCCUUUUGCUAAUGCUGCAUCUCUUGAUCUCGUCCCAUCAAAGAAAAGUCUAAAAGAUGAAAAAUCAAAGUUCCCAAAAUUAAAGGAAGAAAGAAAAGCUUUUAAAACCAGAUCUUGCAAAAAUCCCAGAUUAAAGGAAGAGAAAAGCUUUCCAUUCGAUCUUAUUUCAUAGGAUAGGAUUUCUAUUCCAAAAACUAGAUCUUACAAUUCAAAUAAUUUAAAAGGUGACUGCAUAAGAACAUUUUGAAAGACCCAAGUUCAAUAUUAGAAGUCUUUGCUUUUUUCCUUUGUUCGUUAAACUCCUUCUCAAUCUCAAUGCAUUGGGAUUUGUUGUCCACAUAAUAUACUGCCAGUUAUCUUUCUUAUUGCUAGAUUUCUUGAAUUCGAUCAAGAUGUAUCAUUUCCUCAGGCAAUUGUCCUUCAAAAGAAAAUUUUACUACUACUGCACUUCGUUUCUCAUGUCCCAAGGGAGAGGUGGUGGUAGCAAUGGAGUUUGGCAGUGGAGGAAGAAAAUAACCAAAAAAUACCAAAAAUAAUCGUGUGUUGUUUGGUCUAUCAGGAACUAAAUCGAUGUUCUGUGUUUGGCGCUGUCGCGGAGGUCCCUAAUUAGAGUCGCAAUAUAAGUCACAUAUCAAAUUGACCAAAAAUAAAAAUUAAGAACUAAAUUAAUCAACACUAGAAAAAAGUUUAGGGAUGAAUCUGGCCAUUUUCCCAUUCUCGAAACUUUAAGGCUCUUAUAAAAACUUGGAUUAAUUUCACUUUGCACCCUUCAAUUAUAUUCAAAUUAUCGUUUUAGACCCUAAAUUUCAAAAUGAGAUAGUUAAUUAGUUCCUAACAUAUAAAAUUUGUCCCACUUAAAUAAAAUCAUUGACUGAAGUACGACAAAUUUUAUACAUAAGUUGGAUGAAUUUAUGAAUUAAUCUUUCCUGUAUUAUUAUUAUAUAUAGUGAUGGAUUUAGAAGCAUGACACAACAUCUCAAUUUGAAUUUGAGCACCAAACUUUGCACAAGUAACACUCACUAGUGUAGGCAUUGACAGUGCAUAAAAGAUUUAUCCAAAAUUUGUACUUUAUGAGCUAAAGUGCGACAUAAUUUAUAUUUUAGAAACGUAUGUUAGAUUUUAUAUUUUUUUUAGAAACCAAAAUAGGACAUAUUUUAUAAUUUAAGAAAUAAAUUAUCAUAUUUCCAAGUUUAUGAACCAAAGUAGAAAUUUAGCCAUUGUUGAAAGUGCAAAGUGGAAUUAGCCCUAAACACUAUUUUUGUUCAUAAUUAAGUUCUGAAAGCACAGGUACUAGCAAAUGUAUUGACAUAAUUAAGCAUCUUACAUAGAUUUAGUUUUGCAUGUGAUGCCCAUUCUUGGUCUGAAUUGUCGAAGAUGUUUUGUUUGCUUUGUGUUAAAGAGUACGCAUUUCUAAUCUAAUUUGUUUCACAUGAUAAGUAUUGCUUCGAGUAAUUGAAAUAGGAUGGAAUUGAUCACAAUUCAACCUGAUUAAUUAUAGUAGCAAAUAAAGUCUAUGCAAUGGUCUCGUGACUUAAACGUAGUAAAAGGACAUAAGAUAAAGAACCUAGUUGUGUACAAGUUUGUUCAUUUCAUCACCAAGAGAUGCUGCUGCUUGUUUGUAGAUGGCCAUGCAAAUUCUUCACUUAUAACUACCUGAGUUUUCUCUGAAGUUACCUUAUGGCACUUAAGAAUUAUGGUUGCUUUUUACCUCAUUUUAAGUAAUGCAAACAUGAUCGGAUUUUGUGAAGCAGUAAGUGACUUUUUUUUUUUUUUUUUUAAAUCAGUUUGGGAAGGAAACAAAAUUUAAAGAAACAAAGAUUGUGUUGCUUUAUAAUAUAUAAACCAAGUUCAAGCCCAAAGAAAAAAAAAAUAACGAAUCAGUAAAUCUAGGCAAUCCCACUCGUAUUGACAUUGGCACUCAAUUCCAGGUUUGCCAAUUUAAAGAAAAUUUCACCCGGUUGAAGCAAAAUUAACCGAAUUCAAAAGCUAAUAAAACCAAAAACACAAAUUUUUUUUUUUUAUUAAAGAAUCAUCUCAAAGAGUUGAAGUCCCAAUCUUGAUCUUAUUAAUCUUAAUUAUUGUUUUAGCAGGAAAACAAGAAUUAGAAAAUCACCUAAAAUAUGCAUGCAAUCGUCUUCUUAACCCUAAAGGGCCUAAACAAUGAUCAUCACGCUCACGCUGCAUAUACACAAUGUGUAUCUACCUGCUCCUUUUGUCUCCAAUUCUUGCAAUCAACUGCUGAUUUUGGUCAUUCAUAAAUACUCUUAAAACAAAAAAAUAUCAUGUCAGCUCAUGCUGCACCUGAAUCACAAACAUUAUCAAGGGUUUUCUUUUGGGAGAUUUUUCAUGCCAAAUUUCCAUUAAACAAAGGGAAUUGAAGAACAAUUUCGAGGCCUUCCAAGACUAGCCAACUCACAUUGAUUAACAAUCAUAAACAAACUUCUUCUGCACAUCAAACAUUCAUGCAUGCAUGCACAUAUAAUUACAGAGUUAACAGGGAAUAUAUUAGCAUUAUAGAUCAGUUGAUCAUCGUCUCCUUGCUUUUUCCUUCUCCUUCCUCUUCGAGAUUGCUUUCUAGUCAUCGCCCUCUUUCUAGUCAGUGGAUGAUUUCUAGCAAGUUUCAUGAUAAUUUUUUUUUGUCAAAUAAAAAAAAGUUCCACCACAAAAUUUCAAGUUCGUUGAAAUAAAAAAAAAAAUGGACAUGAAUUUGCAAUAUUCCGCUUGUUCACUGCAUUUUGUAUCCCUAUUUAGAGCCUAUUUGGGAGUGGUACUUUUGUUUGAAAAAAUAAAGGUACUUUUCAGUAAUAGAAGUAUUUUUGUGGUGUUUGCUGAAUAUUAUUUCAUAAAUUUAUGCAUAUAGUUUUUGGUGUCAAAAGCACUUAGCAAAUGUCCCAAAUCGGUGCUUUUAAAAUAAUUUUUAUGUUUUAAAAAAUAAAACUUAAAUUUUGAUCAUUUUAUCAUAAAUUAUGAACUGAAUAAAGAAAUAAAUACAUUUCCAAAAUUUAAAAUCACACAUUAUCUAACAUAACAAGCAUUUAUCCAAGUUUAUAUCCAAACAACAUAUUUUAUCGGUUGAUUAUCAUAGUAAACAUUUGAUUGGUUAGCCUUGGUAACUUUUAAAAAUUAAUUUUCUAUACACUAACAGUACAUAUAUAUUUUCAGCAUAAGAUGCAGUCUAAAUUUUGAAUUUAAAAUUCAAAUUUGCAUAUAUGUCAUACAUUCAAUUAUGAUAGUGUAUACAUUUUAGUGUAUACAAGGUUAAUUCUAUUUUUACCAAUGUGGUAUGUGUCGUUAUAUGUUAUACAUUCAAUCGUGAUUGUGGUGUGCGUCGUUAUGUGUUAUGCAUUUAACCAUGAUAACGCGUACAUUGUUAAUAUAUUUAAGGUGAACUCUACUUUUAAUGGCUUGCAGAGUCCUGUCCGAAAAUACAAGCGAAAAUAUUCGGGUUGAUAACCUGCGGGGGAUGCUAGUGUACGUGGAACUUCCGGCUGGGGGCUGCUUGGUUUCUAAUAGUCCAGCAAACUUUGUGCUGACCUUUGGGCUUUUAUUGAGCCCACUCUGCAACUCCUUUCCAAUAUGUAGUGUUUUUUAGUGAUGAGAAUGGGGGCAAAUCAAGCAUUGCCGUUUGCGUGCGUCCGAUAUGAUUGUUGUAGUUAUCCUCUCAAUCUCAUUAAAUUUACAUUGAAAUAGUUUUAACCUAGGUUUGAAAUUCAUUUACGUAUUUGAAAUAGUUUUAUAUGGAUAUUAUUUCAAAAAAUUAUGUGGAUAUUAACGUAGUUAAAUACUUAUAUAUGUGUAAUACUAAACAUUUGUAAAAAAUUUGCAAUAGUGACUAUCCCUUUGAAAUUUUCUUGACCACUAACAAGUCUAAUUCCAUGAGUCAGUAUUAGGGGUGGGCGCGGGUCGGGUACCCGUCCCAUUCACCAUUUGGCUGAUCCGACCUGCACCUUGCGGGUCAGCCAUUUUCUGACCCUUACCCGCUCCGAAUAUUAUCGGGUACCCUAUAACGGGUACCCGUUGAGAUAGAGUCGGAUCAGCGGGUAUCCGUCCCGCCUCGUUUAUCAUUUAAUUUUUUUUAAAAAAAAUGAUUUAUACCAAUUUAAUUUUAUAUUUUACACAUUCAUCUAAGAUUUAAUAAUUUUUUUUCUAAAAAAAGGUUUCCCACUAAAAAACAAGCAUAUGAAGAGAAUAUAAGAUAAUGGAAAAAAAUUAAAAGAAUUCAAAAUCAAUAAAAGUUUGAAAUAAGUAGCACAAUUUUUAAUAUAUAUGUUCCACAUUAAUUAAACUUUUUUCUAUAAAAUAUAAGAUCAUGACCUUUACAAAUGAUUCUUGUAAAUAAACUAUAGUCUCUCAUAUUUGUAAUGCAAUUUGUUCAAUAAAAUUAUUUAUUUAGUUCUAACUUAUUAUUUUAUAGUGUGUGUAUAAAAAUAAAAAUAAAAAUAAAAAUAAUAAAUAUAUAUAUGCGGGGCGGAUCGGGUACCCGCGGGUUUUUAAUUAUGUGACCCUAACCCGCUCCGCAUCUUAGCGGAUACCCGACCCUCUUUUGACCCAAUCAAAUAAUAAAAUCGGAUAUCCUAAUUUUCGGAUCGGAUCGGAUCGGAUAUGACGGGUUUUCGGGUUAGCGGAUAAUUUUGCCCACCCCUAGUCAGUAUUACUUCGUUUGGAUUGACUAUUUUUUCAAAAAUGAUUUUUUUUAAAUACAAUGCUACAAUAAAUACACAAUAAUUCCAAAAAACAUCACAUCCAUACAAUAUAUCAAAUGUUUCAAAAAAAUUUUAUAGUACAAAAUUUUCAUAUAAAUUGUUACAGUAAAUUUUUUUCAAAAUACUCCAAAAAACAGCUAAUCCAAAUGGUGCCCUUUCACAAUUACAAAACUAAGUAGUGGUGUCAAGUUUGUUACACCCUGUAAAACUAAAGAUUCAAGAUGCAAUGAAUAUUUGGUAAAACCUAUGAACUAAUGAACUUAACUACAUGUGAUUUGCUACUUCCCACACCGAAAAUCAGUUCUUUAAUCCUUGCCUAUGUUAAAUGCCGUUCUGACAUUUUUAUUCCUUUUUGUCACAAACUAUGGAAACAUCAGGGCCAGACACAGUUUUCAAGUUUCAACCCGCUGUUACAUACAUACAAAUUCUGGUAUUUGAAAGACCAAGAAAACAAGAAUAUGGAGACGAGCGUCCGUGGUUGAAUACCAUUUUCUGUCAUGAUUGAUAUGUUGUAACAUGUAAACAACAUUUUCCAGAACUACAAUUGCCUUGGGUUUCGUUCUCAUUUAUGCUUCAUACCGUCUUAUUUGUGCUCGUCUUUUCUGGUUUGCUGAAGUUUCAUCACCUAUAAAUACCCUUGAACUGAUUUCCCAAGGCAUAAGAUCACCGACUUCUCUUCUUGAUACUGAAAGGGGAGCAACAAUGGAUUCCUCCUUAGCAUACAUUGUAACACUUGCAGUGAUCCCAGUUUCAAUUGCCUUCAUUUUCUUGAUCGCAAACGAAAUUCGAGCAGCUUGAAGCUUCCUCCAGGAACGUCGGGUGGCCAAUGGUGGGAGAAAGUUUGCAGUUUGCUUUAUUAGGCCCCCAGAAGUUUGUAAAAGAUAGAAUGAAGAAAUAUUCACCAGACGUGUUUCAGACGUCCCUGAUGGGAGAAAAAAUGGCUAUUUUCUGUGGUGCACAAGGCAACAAGUUUCUAUUCACAAACGAGAACAAACUUCUAACCUCAUGGUGGCCUCAGUCCAUGAAAAAAGCUCUGCUUUUCCCUGAAUUUGUUGAGGAUUCUUUAAAGGAAGUAUCAGCUCUGAAGCGUAGUUUCAUGCAUGAUAUUCUCAAGCCUGAAGCUCUGAAGCAAUACAUUCCAGUCAUGGAUGCACUGGCUCGGGAACAUAUCGAACAAGAAUGGGCUCCUCACAAGAAGUUAAAGUCUUCCCUUUGUCAAAAAAAUACACAUUUGAUUUAGCCUGUCGCUUGUUUUUGAGCGUUAUGGAUCCUGAGCACAUCAAGAAACUGGCUGAUCCUUUCCAUCUGGUUACCAAUGGGAUGUUCUCUGUCCCUAUUGAUCUCCCUGGAACAGCUUACAAUGGAGCUAUCAAAGGUGGAAAAAUGGUCCGUGAAGAGCUGUUGAGGGUCAUCAGGGAGAGGAGAAAGGAGCUGAUGGAGAAUAAAGAAACUGCAGCAGCAUGCAAGGACCUUCUGUCGAGAAUGCUACUUGUCACAGAUGAAGAUGGACAAUAUUUGAGUGAAAUGGAAAUCUCCAACAACAUCAUAGGCUUGUUGGUAGCAAGCUAUGAAACUACAAGCACUGCAGUCACCUUUGUGUUGAAGCACCUUGCUGAGCUUCCCCACAUUUACAGAGAGGUUCUCAGAGGUAAAAAUUUCUUGUGCCACUUCCAAACUUUAAUUCUCCUUGUUUUUUCCGUGUAAAGAAUGGUUGAUUGACUAAUUCAGUUUCCAUACACCCAUACAUAUAUAUAUAUAUAUAUAUAUAUAUAUAUAUAUAUAUAUAUAUAUAUAUUCAAAAGGAGAUUAUCGUAUUCAAAUUUAGUGUACUAACUUUUUAAAAUAAGUUAACGGACAUUGAUUAUCGUAUUCAUCACCACAGAACAAAUGGAGGUUGCAAAGACAAAAGGUCCAGACGAAUUGUUGACUUGGGAGGACAUUGAGAAGAUGAAAUAUUCAUGGAAUGUAGCCCGUGAAUCCCUGAGGGUGACGCCGCCAGCUCAGGGAGCUUUCAGGGAAUCUGUUGCUGACUUCACUUAUUCCGGUUUUACGAUUCCAAAAGGAUGGAAGGUAUAUGAGCUGAAAUAUCUAUAUCUAUAUCUAUAUCUACACACACACACACACACAAACACAUAUGUAUAUAUUUAUCCUGCAAUCUUAUUUUCUUCAUGACCGUGAUGAAUACUGAAAAUUCAGCGGCAAUCAAAUUUAUUUGCAGACGUUUUGGACAGUGCACACAACUCACAAAAAUCCCAAGUACUUCCCUGAGCCUGAGAAGUUCGAUCCUUCAAGAUUUGAGGGAAGUGGACCUGCUCCUUACACUUUUGUUCCUUUCGGAGGAGGACCUCGAAUGUGUCCUGGAAAGGAAUAUGCUCGGCUAGAAGUUUUGGUUUUCAUGUACAGAAUCGUGACCCAAUUUCAACUGAAAAAGGCAAUUCCAAAUGAGAAGAUAGUGUACCAUGCAUCUCCUGUGCCCGCGAAUGGGCUUCCCGUCCUUCUCCAGCCUCAUGGGAAAUAGCUUGCAAGCAGUUAUUGGUACCAUGCAUCUCCUGUUCCCGGGAAUGGACUUCCUGUGUCUCCAGCCUCAGGGGAAGAUAGCGUACCAUGCAUCUCAGUGCCCGUGAAUGGGCUUCUUGGUUGAGUUCGAAGUUUGCUUUUUUUUUUUUUUCUUUUUCUAAAGAUUAUUGUGAAAAUUUGUGCAAAUUAUUUCUGCUGUAUCCAUAAACAGACCUGAUAUGUUCGUUCAUUUGAGAAAUGGACUAUAUCUUCAAAAUAAAGUUUGUUAGUCAACUUAGAUAUGUAUUGUAACAGUUCAUUUCUGUAUUCUAGUAUCAUUUUAUCUGUGGUGAAACAGAAAGUAAGACUUCCCCAAGGAGUUAUCAAAGAAUAUUAUAUGUGCAAACAAAGAGAUUAAUGUGUUAUCUUGUUUCUUUAAAGCCAAAUAUGCUGCAUCCUAGAUGGUUGUCAAAAAUAUAGUAUUUUCUUUCUUUCUUUCUUUUUUAGCUAAAAAGUUUCUCUUAUUUUUCAGAAAAUCUCUAUUUACUUCUACAGAAUGUUAUUUUUGUAAUAUAAAAACUGCACCAAAUUGGUUCCAAAUUCUAUGUUCUGCCAUAAAAUGCAAAAAUGUGGCCGUUACCACAUAUUUGAUGUGUAUCUUUUUGAUAAACAAAUUAUAAGCUGACAUAUAACUCCCCUGAGAAGUCUUGUCAUACUUAAUUAGAGAAUGCUACAAUUAGCUAGUUGUCCAAGAACGAUUUACACCUAUCAGGCAACCAGUAUCGAAAGUAAAACUUGAAAUUAUUAACUUCCAUCCAGACAACAUCUAAUGCUUAAAAAAAAGAAGAAAGAAACUAUCCUACGAAAUGUGUUAAACUUGGUUUAAAAUAGUAAUCAAUAAUGGUCCACAGAAGUCAGUGCCUGGUUGUUAAAAAAAACAAAGCAUAGCAUUCUCUUUUGGUUUCUUAGUGAAGGGAACUACUACUAUUUUAAGUCAUUUUUCAUCAAGUAUGAAUUGACAUCUUUCUUGAAAGUAAAACAAAGCUUAGGCAUUUCCUUCUGGUAUUCAUCAUCAAGGUUGUAUAGUUUGACAGGAGAAGAAAAAGGGGCAUAAGUGAAGGUAAAUAAUGGCAUCCCAAGAAGUGGCUGCAGCAAAGGUGGCAUCGAUUUUCAUAUAUCCAAUCAAAUCCUGCCGUGGAAUUUCUGUCUCUGAAGCACCUCUUGCAUCCACUGGUAUGAAUUACACUCUUGUAACUGUACCAACCUUAUCAAUUUCAAGAACAUGCUUUAGUGCUGCUGUUUUUCCUGGUUAUUUUGCAGAGAUGGAUGAAUGGGAGAGGAUGGCCUCAUUGCAUGUUUAUGCUGUAGUUGAAAUUUCUAAAUGUUGCAUCUUUUGUCUGCUGCCAGAUUAAUUCACUUCCUUCUGUUAUUUCAACUCUGGUAUUAUAGAAUUGAGAGAGGGUAGGGUCCUCAUCACCCCACAAAACCAAGCCAGUGUGGUAUUACUGUUAAAACAAAUUUUCUAGCAACUAAGAGCUUAAGAGUUCUUUGUUGUUGACAAAAUAUAAAAAAUUCCAUCAAUUGAAAAAGGAAAAAUUAUUUCUUUGGAAUAUGGCUCAAUGAUCUUCAAUCUGUUAAGUGUGAUGUUGGCAAAGAGAAAAUUUUCUGUGUCAGGUCAAAUUUGCACAAAUAAAUCUUCUAUGGUUCCUUUUCUGUUUCCAUAUUCUAUAGCACUGUAAAUUCUGAGUAGAUGAUCCACACUGUAAAUUCUAUAGCAUUGUGUUCUUGAGUUUUCUUCUCCUAAUUCAGCUGUAUUCUAUUUCGUUAAAGUUCUUGAUAAGAUGGAGUGAAUCAGAUGAUGCAUGCAUUAUCAAUAUCAAACUACUUUUUCGAUCUCUAUGAAAUCUUUAUUCUUUUGAUUUUCAUUUUGAUAAGAUAUUCGAUUCAAAAGUAAAGGUCGUUUUUCUGGCAGAAAUUUGGCUUACUUUUCUUCUGUUUAAAUUUACUUACAGGUUUUAGGUGGGAUAGAUUGUGGAUGGUUGUGAAUUCUAAAGGCAGGGCAUAUAGUCAAAGAGUUGAGCCAAAACUUGCUCUAGUUGAGGUAGAAAUGCCAAUAGAAGCAUUUUCUGAUGUUUGGGAACCAAAUAACAAUUCCAUCUUAGGUGAGUUCUUGAUCACUGAGAAUACAUAUAUAAUACCUCUUGAUUAGGCUGUUUUCAUUCCUCUUUUCUGCCGCCUUCCCCUUGUCCACUCUUGCAAGUUCAACAAGUAAAUUGCUUAAGAUCUUAAUACUCCCUGUUGCUUUCGACCGUCGUUUCUCUUUUUCUGCGCAAUGUGGACCAAAAUGUUAGAACAAUGGCAGAUCACCGAUCGCUUUUUUCCAAUUGGAGUUGUGGUAACAGCUGAGAAAUGAAAGAAACGCCUGGAAAGAAAAUUAAAAAAUUAAAAACAAGAACAGUUUUAAUUCUUUUGUGAUUUCAUUUAGUUCAGAGAGUUGGUUUUGUUCCAUUAAUGCAAGGUAAAAGAAUGAUUGUUUAAAGUAGCUGCAGAUUUAGCUGGUGAUCAAUGUUCUCUUCAUCCAACAGUUGUCAGGGCCACAGGCAUGGAUUUAUUGAAGAUUCCGCUGGCCGAACCAUCUACAAUAGCAGAUGGAGUCUCAAUCUGGGAGUGGGCUGGCGGGGCACUUGAUGAGGGAAAUGAAGCAUCAGAGUGGUUCUCCAGAUUUCUUGGCAAACCAAGUCGGCUAGUGCGUUUUAAUGAAGGUAGCACUCAGUUAGGCAAUGAGAUUUAACUUUCUACCUCUGGGCAAAUGUAUAUGAACUCAUUUUUGGCAACAUAAAAUGCUGAGAGCUAGGCUGCUGCAUACAAAUCAGAAUGAACUUCAGCAUUUGGUUCUUGAUGAACUAACAUUUCUAGUCCUUUUCUGUUAUCUUUGGAUGUUCAAAUUGUCUUUGUUUUCCCUGUGUAAUUUGGCUUCUAUCAUUUCUAGAAAUUUAUUGCAUUACUCUGGUCUCAGAAAUGCACCAAUGUCCAGAAUUAGGACUAUCUUUUGUAUCUAAGGAAUAGAGAUGAUAAUUUUGAGAAAGAGCGAAUUUCAUGUAUGCGUGCUUUAUUACCAAACUCUUGCAUUAUACUUUUUUUUUUCCCCUGGAAGUCUAUUUUCUGAAGCUUAUUUAUUGAAAUCAUGCAUCAUUGAAAUGUAUUUAAGUCACAAAAUGAGACAGUAAUUUGGGUUUUGAUUAAUCAUGCAGCAUCAGAAACCAGGCCUGUCUACUCUGAUCCUGUCCGCAGUUAUAAGAUUAAGUUUAAUGACAUGUAUCCUUUUCUCCUGGCAUCUCAGGUUAGUUAGUGAGACUGGUACAAAUCGAUAUCUGACCAAGUAGAAGUUUUGAUCUAAGAAUUUUUCAUUGGUUGUUCUGCAGGGAUCAUUGGAUGCAUUAAAUGAUCGUCUGGAGGAACCUAUACCCAUGAAUCGGUUUAGACCUAAGUAUAUGCAUGCUCGAACCCCUUGCUCUCCUGCUCUUGUUUGCUUCUUUCAGUUUCCUUUCACUUUCUGAGUAUAUUUGUACUCCUUUUUCCUAUAUGCUUCAUAACCCAUAACCCAUAUUUUACCCAAUGCAGAAGAAUUCAAAAGGCUUCAAAAAUGAUGUUUUUUUUUGUUUUUCAGUAUACUUGUUGAAGGAUGUGAGCCAUUUUCUGAGGAUUUUGGAAGGAGAUCAGCAUAAACAGUUUAACAUUCUAUGCUGGCGAGCUAUGCUACCGCUGUAAGGUAAAAGUAAAACCUCACUUUUCUUCAGUUUUGUUCUUGAUCAGUAUACUCAGAUUUUAUUUGUGAAGACUAAUCAAGUAUAGGUUCUAAUCUGCCCUGAUCAUUUUAGUUGAUUAUCGUGUAACCUUUUCCUUUCUUCCCCCAUCCCAACAAGUCCUCGAUUAGAAAGUAUUUUAGUUUCUUUAUUGCUUUCAGAGAAAGAGAGAGAGGAGUGGCAAAUUGUUGUAAACAAUCUUGCACCUUUUCUCAUUACUGAUCUUGGUAGUGAACUCACUCCAUAAAUUAAGUUUCAGAGGGCUCAAAUAUGUAUCCUGAACCUUUGCCUAGAUAGGAGGCCCUGAGAUAAUGCUGGAGGAUUACCUGCUCUAGAAGUUCACUGCCUCUUAUCAUGCUGCAUAAAAAUUGCUCCAAUCAAAAAGGGGCAAGAAAAAGAUUAAAAAAAAGUGCCAUAAUACAUAUGUUUGCUGUCAAAUCUGUAUUUGCCAUUUCCGUAGCUGUUUGUUUAGUUGAGGUUAGUGUUGCGAAGGUGCACAGAGGAAGUAACAAAAGUAUGCUAUUGCACCUAUAAAGACUUGACAUCUGAAUCUCUCUAUGAGUUUCUAAGCUCAGAAAUCUUGCCUCUUACUAUUUACAGAUACCAAGCAUCAAUCAAGAAACAGCAGUAGCAGGUUCAGAGCCCACGGAGACGCUGAGAAAGUUUCGUUCAGACAAAGUCCUGUGUCCAGAUAAAAAACCACAGGGAGGGUAAGCAUAAACAAAACAUUGUCAUGGUCCUUCUAGAGACCAAAUCCUGAUACUAACUUAGCUCGGAUCUGCAGGUUUACUUUGGAAAAAUGUUAGUUUGCAAAGAUUCACUUACUCAAUGGAAAUCGAAGAAAAUACAAGUGGGAGAUCCUGUUUAUAUUCGCGAAUUAUUACCUUCCUAUAACGAUGCAGCAGCUUGACCUUAAUAUGUUCCAUGUACAGAUUCUGCCCACUUGCCCUGCCUUGAAACCAUGCAAGUAUAAUGGUCAAACAUUUUAUGUUUGCAAAGAUGUGUUUUAAACUGUAACCCUUCGUUAUAUGUUUACCAGUCAAGCUAGUUGUAAAACUUUUCAUCUGAUGUUAAGAAUUAUGUGGUUGGUUUGUGGAACACUUUUCCUCCAUUGUUGGCUCGUAUGUCCCCUGGUAAGGUGAUCAUAAAUUUGAUAUUGAAGAUCAAACCAUCCAAGAUUGUUUAAUAUGGGUUCAUGAGUGAUAAUUGAACUCCAAAAUCAAGUGACAGUUUGCAGCUGAACUCUUGGAUACACAAGCAAAUGAUUCAGUUAUCUGUUCCAUCUUUUUAUAGCCACCAAUUUUGCUGUUUGUAGAUAAUAAAAUGGUAGGGGAUCGAUAGUAUAAACUUCUGAUUUACAAUAUGAUCCUAGACAAAAUAAACAACAGAUGCCUGGUUUAGUGUGCAAAGUUCAACAUUGAAAGAAAAAAUCACUAACACUUCAGGAAAUGCAUGUUACACUAAACAGAAGUUGUAAUGGAACAACAAAAACAUUAAAACCAAAAUUUUUCUGUGUUUCCUUUGAUUUAAUUGCAAUCUACAACCCUGUAAAACCGUUACAUUGAUGUCACAACUCUCGUGCAUUUAGGAUGCUAUGCUAAAUCUUGUGUAAACAUUCACUCUACAGUGUAAAAUCAACUACGUGUUGUUAUGCCCCUCUGGCCUAUGAAUUAAACAGGGAUGGAAGCCCUUGAGUAGGGACUCGUUAUGCAUCAAUUGAAUCACUAUGAAGCCUGCCGAAGCAUCUGCUGGAGUUGAAUGACCUGUUGCUGCUGAUCAGGUGGCAGUGAACUUACUUGCUCAGGUGUUAGAAGAAGCACUUGCUGUAGCAGAGCAGUCUCCACAUCAGGAGGAAGCUGUACCUUGAGAAUGAGAAAACCAAAGUCUUACUACAAUUAAAGAACAAACCAAGCCACCAA
rnacentral:lncRNA from 1 species